rnacentral:lncRNA from 1 species
GGGUAGUGGACGUGGAGGCUCUUCGUUUUCUUGGUGUUUCAGGGUUUCACUUUGUUCCUAGAGGAGGUAGUAAGGCUCGGAAGUGGUGAUGCUGCCCCUUUCUCUUCACCGGCUUAGAGGACGAGCGUGGUUGAGGAAGUUGAGCGCUAUUAAGCUUCUGUGGUUAGUGUUGUCCUGUCUUUCGUCGGAUCUUGGCUCAGACCGUGUCCCAGCUCGGACCUUGAGGGCAGUCUUUGAGCGGGCUUGUGUUUGUUCUUUUGAGAGAUGACAAAUUGUUCAGGUAGCCGGAUGAAUCAGCUUCUUGUGAGUGUUGUGCUUUCUCGUUCACUAGUCUUCGGUCCUCUCCCUUUAAACCUGUCUCGGCUUGUCUUCUCGCUCGGACUUCUCAAGUUUGUAUCAUUACUUUUGGUCAUGUUCGCUCCAACGCAGAACGGCUAAAGUAUUGAUUGAUUUUGUUUCCAUGUUUUUACUUUUUUUGCCGUGGAAACAAGUUUUGAGAUCUUCUAGUUGUUAAUCACAUCUUGUAAAAUCUCAACUUUCAUUAUGAAAUGAUAUUUACAAUUUAGCAAAAAAAAAUAAAAGAAACAAUAUAUUAUAAUUUUGAGAUUUUCUAUCUUAUAUCGUGCAGAUCACUUGGUCGAGGUUUUUCGAAUCUCAAAUAUUUUUCAGAGGUGGUUGUAGCAGGGGAAAAGAUUACCAAAAUGAUAAAAAGAGUUCCGGGUAUUGAUUCGGACAACAUGGAAGGUCAAGUUCUAAAUAACUUUAAAGGAGAAGUACACUUUAACCAUGUGAAAUUUAUGUACCCCUCUAGACCUGAAACCCCAAUCUUUGAGGAUUUAUGUUUGAGAAUUCCAUCCGGAAAAACUGUGGCUCUGGUUGGUGGAAACGGGUCGGGAAAAUCAACUGUUAUAUCGCUUUUGCAGAGGUUCUAUGACCCAGUCGCAGGAGAGGUUCUAAUAGAUGAUGUGCCCAUUAAUAAGCUGCAGGUGAAGUGGUUGAGGUCCCAAAUGGGUCUAGUUGGCCAAGAGCCAGUGCUCUUCGCCACAUCGAUAAAGCAAAAUAUAUUAUUUGGUAAAGAAGAUGCGUCCAUGGAUGAAGUAAUGGAAGCUGCAAAGGCCUCAAAUGCUCAUACUUUCAUCUCUCAGUUCCCUCAUGGUUACAAAACUCAGGUCUUCUUUUUUUUGGGAUCAAAUUUAUAUUCCACUUAAUAGACCAAACCAGUUAUGUUUGUUAUAGAUAGUUGGACUAAGCCGUAUUUUUAAUUCUUGCACGAAAAGGUUGGAGAGAGAAGAGUGCAAAUGUCAGGAGGUCAGAAGCAGAGGAUCGCAAUUGCACGUGCGAUAAUCAAAUUACCAAAAAUUCUCCUUUUAGACGAGGCAACAAGUACACUAGACUCAGAAUCAGAAAGGGUAGUCCUAGAAGCCUUGGACAAUGCCUCUGCUGGCCGUACAACUAUUGUUAUUGUUGCACACCGCCUAUCUACUAUUCGUAAUGCUGAUGUUAUUUGUGUAGUCCAUAAUGGCUGCAUUGUAGAAACUGGAUCACAUGAAGAGCUCAUGGAGAAUUUGGAUGGUCACUAUACUUCUCUAGUUCGCUUGCAACAGAUGGAGAAUGAAGAAUAUGAUGUUAACAUCAGUGUAAGGGUGCAAGGGGGGCAAUUAUCGAUUUUGAGCAAAGAUUUAAAGUAUAGUCCAAAACUCUCUUUUGUCGAUAGCAGGUCUAACUUGGCAACAAAUUCAACCAUUGAUUCGAGUCUUUCUGGUUCGAUACAUAAGGAUAAGAAGACGCGUGUGCCAUCGUUUAAGAGAUUGAUGGCAAUGAAUAGACCAGAGUGGAAACAUGCAAUGUGUGGUUGCUUAAGUGCAGCUUUUUAUGGGGCCGUACAACCACUAAACGCAUAUGUUGAAGGAUCAAUGGUGUCAAUGUAUUUCCUAACGAGUCAUGACAAGAUCAGGGAGAAAACAAGGAUCUACGUGUUGGUUUUUGUUGGUCUAGCUCUGUUUGUUUUCUUGACUAAUAUCGUUCAACAUUAUAGUUUUGCUUACAUGGGCGAAAACCUAACAAAACGUAUCCGAGAAAAGAUGCUCACAAAGAUGCUGACCUUUGAAGUCAACUGGUUCGAUGAAGGCCAGAACUCCAGUGGUGCAGCUUGCUCAAGACUUGCGAAAGAAGCUAACUUGGCAUGUCUUGCGCCCUAUUAAUUUAAACUUUAGUGAACAACUCUUUGAACAGUUCUUGAUUUUCUAAAGUUUUUUUUAUCACAGGUGAGGUCGCUGAUUGGUGAACGGGUGUCAUUGUUGGUACAAACCAUAUCGGGAGUGGCUAUAGCUUGCACACUUGGUUUGGUCAUCGCUUGGCGAUUAGCCAUUGUGAUGAUUGCGGUACAACCAGUUAUUGUUGUGUGUUUCUACACUCAACGCAUUCUGCUCAAAAGCAUGUCCAAAAAAGCAAUUAAAGCCCAAGAUGAGAGUUGCAAACUAGCCGCAGAAGCUGUCUCCAAUAUUCGAACCAUCAUAGCUUUCUCGUCACAGGAACGGAUUUUGAAAUUACUCAAUAGGGUCCAAGAGGGUCCACGGAGAGAAAGCGUUCGCCAGUCGUGGUUAGCAGGGAUUGUGCUGGGGACUUCCCGAAGCCUUUUAGCAUGCACAACGAUUUUGAAUUACUGGUAUGGUGGAAGAUUAAUAGCAGAUGGAAAAAUCGUGGCAAAAGCAUUCUUUGAGAUGUUUAUGAUCUUUGUGAGUACGGGCCGGGCUAUUGCAGACGCUGGGACCAUGACUACCGAUCUAGCCAAGGGCUCGGAUGCAGUUGGGUCUGUGUUUGCAGUGUUAGAUCGAUGUACAACCAUUGAGCCGGAGGACCCAAAUGGCUAUCUUCCGGAAAAGAUAAAGGGAAUAAUCAGGUUUGUCAACGUGGACUUUGCUUACCCCACCCGACCAAAUGUGGUUAUAUUCAAGGACUUUUCCAUUGAGAUAGAGGAGGGAAAGUCGACAGCUAUUGUAGGUCCAAGUGGGUCAGGUAAGUCGACAAUAAUUAGUUUGAUCGAGCGGUUCUACGACCCGUUAAAGGGUUCUGUGAGAAUCGAUGGCCGUGAUCUAAAGUCGUAUCAUUUGAGGUCGCUUCGUCAACACAUAGCUUUGGUUAGCCAAGAGCCAGCUUUAUUCACCGGGACUAUCCGAGAGAACAUACUGUACGGAGCAGCAUCUGAAAACAUCGACGAGUCGGAGAUCAUAGAGGCGGCAAAGGCAGCAAACGCCCACGAAUUCAUCACAUCACUAUCGAACGGCUACGACACGAACUGCGGAGACAGAGGAGUACAACUAUCGGGUGGGCAAAAACAGAGGAUUGCUAUAGCUCGUGCGGUUUUGAAGAACCCGUCCGUGCUGCUCCUGGACGAAGCCACGAGCGCUUUGGACAGCCAGUCUGAGCGCAUGGUCCAGGACGCACUCGAGCGAGUGAUGGUCGGGAGGACGAGCGUAGUGAUCUCGCAUAGGCUUAGCACGAUCCAGAACUGCGACACGAUCGCGGUUUUGGACAACGGGAAAGUAGUUGAAUGUGGAGACCACUCGUCCUUGUUGGCAAAGGGUCCUACAGGAGCUUACUUCUCAUUGGUCAGUCUCCAAAGAAAUCUCUGUUGACUGUCAAAGAUGCCGUUUUGCUUUUUCUCAAAAACGGAAAGAAGAUAAAGUGAAGAAAGAAGAUGAAGAUGAAGAGCAGGAAAACCAAAAAAAUGUAUACUUAGUUUUUUUCUUGCAAGUUUUGCAUUCACUUAUGAAGUUUUGUUGCUGUUAAUGUAAAGAAAACCAUGGUAUCAAAGAUUUCAAGAGAAUUAAACAGAAAACGUAAUAAGUGUUGAAGACACUAGAGGACUAGUGUUUGCUUCAUCAUUACGCAUUUAGUAAAAUUUCUAUAGUAAGUGGUUUACUUAUAUCCUCAGAGGUGAAAGUAGACGUCUUACGAUUUUGGAACCUGAGUAAAUCAAUCUUCCCUCAAGCAACCCACAUGUAAGAUUCUCUUUAACUAAGACACCACCAUAUCCUGCCAAAAAAAUGAAACAAUAUUGUAAACAUGAAAGAUUGCAGAAGAAAAUGUAAGAAAUUACAAGCUCAGUCUAUAUAUAUUACUCACCUUUACACUCUCACAAUAAAUUUGACAAUAUAAUCAAAGUCAUGUUAGCAGAUACUACACAGCUAAGUAAGACAUGGUUUUCUGAUCAUCACUACUCUCGUCACCAUUGUAUAAAAUUGUUACAAGUCGUAGUUAGCCGAACAAGCUAAACGCAAGUCUAAAUGUUUUAGGAUGAGAACUCCAACUGAAAAGAAGCAGAACCUAUAUAUGAUGAUGUAAUUUCGUGACUACACGGUUUACAAAGUAUCAUCGAUAAAAUUGGAUGCUCAAUAGACUACAAAAGUCUUAACAAUAGAAUGGUUGGUUCAGCCUGUCUAAAAGGAAUCAGGUAGGUCUAUAUGUGAUUGAUGGCUUCUAUUUUUCUUAACUUUGAGAUUCUUGAAAGCGUUUACUGAUGUCUGUUAUAUGGUUAGACUAACAGAUAUCAACCAAGCUGUAGGAUAACUAGAGUAAUAAAGAAAUAUUUGAACUCAGAUAUGUCACAGACCUUGUGUCAAAAUACCCUAUAAUCCCACAACCGUAAAUACGAAAUUAAAAGCUUUUAGUUACAGUAUCUUGAUAUCAUUUCGAGAAAAUUAUUUGUAAAAUGAGUAAAUAGUUUGUAAGGUUCGACAUACCUGGUCUCCUUGGAGAAGUAAGCUCAAGACUUCCAACCUUUCUGCCUGGCAAUGUUGGCAUCGGCAUCUCUUCUGCAGCUCCUCCCCCAGUGAAGCCAAUGUCUGUUCCAGCUCAGAACUCUGCGUGUUGCACGUCAAGGAAACUAUUCUUCUGAAAGAAUGGCAAAUGAGAAUAAAAGUACAAGCAUUCGCUUGCUCUUAAAUUUUAGCAAAAGAAUGGCUGAUGCAGAGUAGUAGACUGUCUCAAUAGAAACAAAAGUAGUUGGUGCAGGUUAUAAACCACGCUUCACUAACUACCGAGAAUAAGGAUAUUCAGCGAGAGCAUGCACUGAGUUUGUUUUCUCUGUUAUGGCCUCCAUGAGUGACAUCUUCUUCUCAUAUUCAUCAAGCUCUUUCUGCAGCUACAGAUAGAAAAAUAGAGUUAUCAAACGAGUUUGUUCACGUCAUAGAAUGUUUAAAAACAAGUUAGAGCAGGGAAUGGAUAAUAGACUGAUACAAAGACUAAACCACUACCUGUUCUUUUAUGUUCUGCUCCGCUAAGUAUCCUUCCUCCUCUUUUGCUAAUUGAGAAUUUACAUCAGAUAGCAUAUCCUUGAUAGCUUGUGAAUCAGCUCCAUGACCAUCCUCAAAAACUUCAACAUCUGCUAUUACGGAAACAUAUCCACAAGCCAUUCAUAAGAAGUGAGAAAAUUGACAAGAGUAAACAGAAAAAAAAAAGGCUACUCACUUGCUGUUAUGCUAGUACUAUCAUCAUUUCCCACACUGGAGGCUACAGUUCUCUGGAACACCCUAUUAGAAAGCAAUCAAUUUUAGAUGUGUACAGGCAGCAUAAGGUGAACGCCAAUAGACUAGAAAACAACCUUAUUUCCUUGUUCAGCUCAACCAUUUGGCUUAUAAAUUGAUCUCUGCAUAACCAAAAAAGUAAUAAGGAAUUACUAAAACACAAACUUAAGCUCAUGUAAAUAAAAUUAAGAUGUUAGAAAGAAGAAAUCACCUAAGUAAUCCUUCCUUGUUCUUUGUUUCGCCAUCCACACAAAAAAAGUUCCAGAAUGUCAUACAAAGACAAUAAUCAAAACCAAAUGCUCUAAAUCUUCUACAAUAGAUCAUAUAAGCAAAACCUUGAGAGCAUCUACUUCAUUGCCAACAGUAGAAACUUCAUCCUGAAGAAGAGCAAUCCUUGCCUGUGAAAAAAAAAGUACACUAACGAUAAGAAACAGAUCCUGUACAUGUUAAUCGAGCUGAACUAAGCACAAAAUAGAAACCUCAAGAGAUUGAAUCGUAGCAUCGUUCAAAGACGAUUCAACUUCGUAGCCGUUGAGCUCCUCUUCCGCCACUUCUUUGAUUCGUUUCGCCUUUUCAACUUCUUCGUUCGCUGCUUCAACUUCCGAUUGCAGAGACUCGAUCCGCUUCUUCAAUCCAACCACUCUUUGCUCUUAACCAGAAAAUCACAACCAUAAUUUCACUAAUUACAGAAACUAUCAUGCUCGAAUCGCAUACAAAUCAUAUCCAAACCCUAGAUUUCACAAAAAUUUCAAUCAAAACGCAGAUCAGCUCCUAAUUUUUCAAAAUUUUCUUCCGAUUCUUCGCCGUUGUCUUUCUCUACGAAAUCUCGAGACUGAAAACAAAAGCUAGAGAAAGUAAGAGAGAUGAUCUUACCUCCACGAGAUCUUUCAGAGGUGAAGUCGCGGAUCAGAGAGAGAAGCUGCUUCUGCGUAUCGAUUCCCGCCAUGGUUUCUUCGUCGCUGGAAAAAUAUCUCACUUCCUUUCCGUUUUGAAAACGUUUGCGUCAGUGGGAGGCGGAAUAAUCAGAUAAUCUUCGGCCCAUGUAUAUGGAGCCCAAACUUCUAGGCCCAAUUAUUUUGGCGAUAUUUUAAAUUAGGGGUCUAGCAUUAUAGCUGGCUCAAGUGCUACAUGUACAUGCACAUGCACAUCCACGAUUUAUUCUAGUUUUGUUUAUAUAUUCUUUUUGAAUACUGACGGACAAAUUAAACACAAAUUAAUAAUUUUGUUGUGAAAAUUUAGAUAAUUACACAAAACUCACAAUAUAGAACUGUUCAGAAUAGUAUAAAUAAGAUUCAGGAGUGGUCAGGACUAAUAUAAUAAUAUGCUGUUUCAGUAAAUAUCAUAUAAAAUGAAUGUGGGACUAUGAAAACUGUUCGAUUUACUGUAUGUGCCACACUAUCUAUCAUCCAAUAUGUUCCGUUACCAAAAUAUCUAUAGAGCUAUAUACCAAAAAGGGUCUAACAACAGAAUACACCAUGGCACUGUUCUGGGAGGAGAAUCUGCGUGAACAGAUAUAAUUUUCGUAGGAGCCACGUUGAAUCCACAAUAUUUUUGAGUGUUAUUUUUCCAAGCUAAGAUUUAAUUACGAAAUUGACUAUAUUGUAAACUAUAAUGGAAUACACCUUGAAGUAAUUACUAUGUUUCAUUAGUUAGACAAAGUUAUUAUUAUUGUUUUAUCUGUGUUCUUGUUUUCAAUGUGUUCGAUCGAUUGUCUCAUCAAGGAUGAGUAUUUUGAUAGUGGUUAGUGCGAGUACUUUGGCUGAAGAUUGAAUGCAAAAAUCACAACAUAUACAAACCAAAAGAAUCACAACAAAUACAUAUAUCUGAAACACGUUUCUUGAAGUUCGAGCUACCUUUAAAACAAAAUCAUAGCUGCAUGACAAGUUUGAGUUUGGACUUCGACCAUAAAUAAUUAUUUGGUAGUUUGUUACAUGCGUUUCAAUUACUUCUGACAUUAGUUGAAAAAUAUUUUAAACUCGGAUUAAACAGUAUAGUGAUCACUCAGAGAGAAAUCUAUUAUGUAGAACUAAAUGUAUUUUACCGAACUGAUCAAAUCUAGAACAUAUCAGAAAACAUAUACAUAUAUAGAGAGAUAUCUGUAUCAUCCAAUAUGAUAUUUAGUAAAGUGUUUGAAGUACGACAAUGAAUAAUCGAACUAAACAUGAGUUUAACUAGUGGCUAAAACUCCGAAAUUACCUAGUAGGAAUCCAAAGGGUUAUAGGUUCAGUUUCCGUUGGGAGGAUCUUCUCUUUUAAAAGAUUUAAUUUAAAAUGGUAUAAGUCUCACCUUAGAGAAUAUACAUACCUUCGGAUCCAGAACUUCUAGACAUUCAAAAAACAAAUUGAAUUCGCUGGAAAAAUAUCUCACUUCCUUUCCGUUUUGAAAACGUUUGCGUCAGUGGGAGGCGGAAUAAUCAGAUAAUCUUCGGCCCAUGUAUAUGGAGCCCAAACUUCUAGGCCCAAUUAUUUUGGCGAUAUUUUAAAUUAGGGGUCUAGCAUUAUAGCUGGCUCAAGUGCUACAUGUACAUGCACAUGCACAUCCACGAUUUAUUCUAGUUUUGUUUAUAUAUUCUUUUUGAAUACUGACGGACAAAUUAAACACAAAUUAAUAAUUUUGUUGUGAAAAUUUAGAUAAUUACACAAAACUCACAAUAUAGAACUGUUCAGAAUAGUAUAAAUAAGAUUCAGGAGUGGUCAGGACUAAUAUAAUAAUAUGCUGUUUCAGUAAAUAUCAUAUAAAAUGAAUGUGGGACUAUGAAAACUGUUCGAUUUACUGUAUGUGCCACACUAUCUAUCAUCCAAUAUGUUCCGUUACCAAAAUAUCUAUAGAGCUAUAUACCAAAAAGGGUCUAACAACAGAAUACACCAUGGCACUGUUCUGGGAGGAGAAUCUGCGUGAACAGAUAUAAUUUUCGUAGGAGCCACGUUGAAUCCACAAUAUUUUUGAGUGUUAUUUUUCCAAGCUAAGAUUUAAUUACGAAAUUGACUAUAUUGUAAACUAUAAUGGAAUACACCUUGAAGUAAUUACUAUGUUUCAUUAGUUAGACAAAGUUAUUAUUAUUGUUUUAUCUGUGUUCUUGUUUUCAAUGUGUUCGAUCGAUUGUCUCAUCAAGGAUGAGUAUUUUGAUAGUGGUUAGUGCGAGUACUUUGGCUGAAGAUUGAAUGCAAAAAUCACAACAUAUACAAACCAAAAGAAUCACAACAAAUACAUAUAUCUGAAACACGUUUCUUGAAGUUCGAGCUACCUUUAAAACAAAAUCAUAGCUGCAUGACAAGUUUGAGUUUGGACUUCGACCAUAAAUAAUUAUUUGGUAGUUUGUUACAUGCGUUUCAAUUACUUCUGACAUUAGUUGAAAAAUAUUUUAAACUCGGAUUAAACAGUAUAGUGAUCACUCAGAGAGAAAUCUAUUAUGUAGAACUAAAUGUAUUUUACCGAACUGAUCAAAUCUAGAACAUAUCAGAAAACAUAUACAUAUAUAGAGAGAUAUCUGUAUCAUCCAAUAUGAUAUUUAGUAAAGUGUUUGAAGUACGACAAUGAAUAAUCGAACUAAACAUGAGUUUAACUAGUGGCUAAAACUCCGAAAUUACCUAGUAGGAAUCCAAAGGGUUAUAGGUUCAGUUUCCGUUGGGAGGAUCUUCUCUUUUAAAAGAUUUAAUUUAAAAUGGUAUAAGUCUCACCUUAGAGAAUAUACAUACCUUCGGAUCCAGAACUUCUAGACAUUCAAAAAACAAAUUGAAUAAUUACUAUUCAUUAGUUCAGAAGCAGUACUUUGAAAUAUAUGAAAAGCAUCCAUUAAUACCGCAGUGGUAUGUAUUAGUUACUCAAAACAACUAUUAAUAGAUUGAGGUUUGUGUUACAAAAAAAAAAAUUGAGUUUUAUAUAUGGAAAAUAUUAAUCCCUUGACAAAAAAGCAGUAUAUAAUAAUAAUCUAUUGUCGGUGUACACUUUGAAGGAUGAUGUGAGUUUCAGUGGUAGUGAAGGAGUGAUAUAUAAUCACUACUGGUAGGACAAGUUGAAAAGCAAUUGGUUAUGACUGAAGGGUGAUGAGCCUUUUGCCACUUAUGGAAACCUGCAACUCAUAUGAUUUGCUGGAUAUGUUGUGCUCAGCUUGUUUAGUGAAUGUAUAGUUCUGAGUAAAGUGGAGUUUGGCUUUCCUUCACCUAAGACAUGAUAUGACAUGACAUGUAUUAUAAGCACCCACUCAUACUCAUCCUCAUACUCAUACUCACACUUUCAAGUUCCACUUUCCUUUUUUCCUUUUCUCAUCAACAGUAUUAUAGCAUGUAAAUGAAAGGUUGUUUGAUGUUUUAAAUUCUUUUGAAAAGAUGUAUACUUGUGUUUAUAUAAGUAAAUAUAAGUUAAAUGUAUUUAAAUAAUAGUGUUCCAAAAAAUUGUAUAUUUACAUAAUUAUGAGAUUUUAUAUAGCUUUUGAUUGUUCAAUGGCGGAAACUUAAAUUAGCAUUUAGUUUAAACAUAGCGUUUUUAUUGGCUAUGUGGCUACUGUAUAUGGUGAAUAUGAAGAAGCCUAAAUAUAUUAGUUUUAGAUGGAAAUACAUGCAAUCAAUGGAAUCAAGAAGUUUUGCAAUUUGCACUAGAUCAUGACACUCUAGCGAAUGGUUGAAUUCUCAAAGUCCCCACAAAGUUGUACCGAUCAAGCAAGUCAAUGACAAGAUAAUUAACACUUGUAUUAAUGCUGAGCCUUCGAUUGUCUCCAAAGCAAUCAUUUUGCUAAUGUCGUAACGGCUCUGGAAUUACAUUUCAAGCUUUAUUGAUAACAACAAUACAGGAUCUUUGAAGCCGAAAGUUAUACAAGAGUGAAAUUGGAAGGGCAUGCAAUUGUAAAGUUGCUGAAUGCUUGGAUGGUACACAAGUGGAUUUUGGGAUUCACAAGAAAAGUGAGACAUUGGCUUUGAAAGCUUGAAGAAGUGGGAUAAUUUAAGUUCAUCGACAAGGAAAUAAAGUUACAGUUGUCUUUUGAUUAAUUAUUAAACUCGAACCAUAAAUAUCUAGUUGAAGUCACACUUGGCAGUGGAAAGCAUGGGUUAUAAACAUGGCGGUAGACAUGAAGCACUGAUUAUAUAUAUGUCACUAUCAUAAUGCAUCUUUCUUGGCCAACUUGGAAUCUUUAAAGGAAAAGCAGUUUUCUAAAAUGUGGUAUAUGCCAAAACGUUCAAAAACUUAAUUUAUCAUUAAAACGUUGGAAAUAAGUGCGUGUAUAUAUCAUUUUAUCUAUAACUUUUAUAGGUUUAUUUUUAUAGCAGAACAAGUUCUAGGAGUCAUCUAGACAAUACAAACGUCAGGCACUGUUGGGUCACUUGAGAGCGAUUACCGUUUUUUAAUCUUACAAUCGACAAAAGAAAUGAGAUUUCUUUGGUUGCUUAAAUUGCGUAUAAUCGAAAUAAGAAGUGAAACAUAAAGAAGGUGAACAAUGUGUCCCCCACUAGUUUCAUUCUUUGUGUGCCACUAGAUUUUGGACGCAAUAUUCAAAUCAUUACACUUUGGCGAAAUUUAGGAAAAUCUUUUUUUUUCCACUUACUUCACUAGCUAUCUUAUGAUCGAGUCCUACGAGGGAGAAUACGGAUCUCUGAACAUGUUAACGGUAGAAUUUGGUGACCAUAACCCAAAAUUAAAGGUCAAUAGUUAGCAUAUAUAAUAAUAUUGAUGCUUAUGUGUUGGGUGUACAAUCAAACAAAUUAGAGAUUUUGAAUCUUAAUACCCAACUGAAACGCUAUUGACAAUUUUACGCAUUUGGCUUGAGUUUAAGCAGUUUGUUAUAAUUAAUUUUUAUCUAUAUUUAUAUUAUUGUAUAUACCCUAAUACUUGAACUAUACAUCACUUAAAGUGAGUAUAGGUUUUCAAAUAGUACAAUGGAACGAGCAAGUUCUUUAAUAGCUAAACUAGUUAUUUGUUGAGCUAUUAGGGACCAAUAAAUAGAUAGUGUGAUUUCAUAUGAUAGUUAUAUGUCGUCACUAACUAUAACCUCUAAUUACACUACUGGGUUCCACAUAUUUGCCUCUGUCUAUUUUUAUUUCCAUUCACACAACCGUGUUCUCGGAUUUAGCAUUAAUGAUUGUACUUGGUAAGAUUCAAUCAAAUGAACAAAAAUCAUUUCAAUGACUUUUAAACAAUUAUUCCAUAUGGUAUUUUUGUGAAUAGAUGUUCAAACCUAUUGAAAAGUGAAUUUGUAAAACAUAAUUUCAUGAUAUCUUAGUAUAUCUUCACUAGUCUAUAGUAUGAUUUAGUGUGAUAAGACUCUACCAACGAUGUGUUAUUGUGCAUAUUCAAUAGCAUAAUUAGCUUACAGAAGCUAGCUGGUGCCCUAACGAUAUACAUUACUUAAUAUGCUGCUCAGAUGGUUUUAUCUACUUAGACUACUUUUGAGUUAGUGGUUAAGUUUGUGAGUUUUUAUUUUCAUAUGAUAUGUUCGAGUCGCAUGCUCUUUUCUAUAAAUUUCUACGCUCUCUCGGUCUCCCUUUGUUUAGGCCUCUUUCACUGAUUGCACUUUUUUAUCUACCUUAAUAGUUAAUACCUAAUAUUACAUUUAUUUUUAUUCUAUAAUGUACCAAAGUUUUAAAUUUAAAUUAACUGAUACAUACGAAUUUAAAGUGAUAUAAGAAAACCGUGACUAACAUACAAAUGAAAGUGAAUAAAAGUUACUAAAACUUAAAAGCUAUUCAGUGAUCUACUUCUGUGUAGAAAAUCCAAAAUAAUAUCUUACACCAAUCUUGUAAUUAUAUAACUUUUUUUUUUACCAGGAAAAUUAUCUAACCUAUAUUCUGUUUCUGAAGUUAAAAAAAAAGGUUAGUGUAAUCAUUGAAUUAGUAAUAACAAAGAGUGAUGUUGUAAGAAUUCCAAUAUAUAAAAUUAAACAGAAGUCAACGUUUACAUAAUUUAAGCGAAAAAGAGAAAACGUCACCACAUACGUAUAAACCCUGGAAAUCACCCACGGGGACGGUAUCAUUUGCCCCAAUAAUGAGUGUUUAAUAUAUUAUACGUGUUAAUUCAGAAUUAGGCAUAUCAUUUUUUAUUUAGAUUAGUGAUCUGGAUCUAUACCAAUUAACUUGAUGGAUGAGUGAGUUUUGAUCGAUCUAUCAUGUUAACAUGAAUCAAAGCCGAUAGACAUAGUGAUCCAUGCAUAACUCGGUUGUUUAACAGAGAACGUUCUUUACGAACUUAUGCACUGAGAUACUAAGUUGUCAACUCCCAUACUACCAAACGCGAACGACAUGUCAAUUAUUUGAUGAUAAAUUGGUGAUAUGUAUAGAAAAAUGAAGGAGAUUUUCUAUUUGUUUAUUUCAUACUAUGAAUUUAUUUUACCAAACUCGAAUAUAUAUUAAUAUAUAAUAACAAUCAAUAAUAAAGUAAACUGUAUAAAACAAAUCACUAUACAUUAAUAAUAUCGAAUAAAAAACAUAACCAAUAACAUUAUAGAUUUACACAAUAUAUAACACUAAAAUGUAAAUUAUAUCUUUGAAAGUUUUGCGAUGGUAUCUGUUAUAUAUUUGUAAAAUGAAAAUCUACCUGCACAUGAAAAAUCUAGUAUUUUAUUAUACAAGAAGGUUUGUGUAUUAGGGUUUAUGAUUUGCAAGGACGUAUAGACCUAAUUCGAGUUGCUCUUUGAUAUAGAUAAUUAAUUCAUCACCAUUCAAGAAUGAUUUUUUGGGCUGUCCAAUGUUUAAAUAUUCGUGUUAUAAUUGAGAAACUUAAUUUUAAAGAGCAUCAAAAGAAAAAAAUAAAGUUAGAUUUAUUAUUCUGGAAACUAAUGUAUCAUAAGAAAACAACUUAGUCAUCCGCACAUUCGUACAAGUUUUUUCUCUUUAUAUAUACUAAAACAUUUUAGUUUAUAUAACAAAAUUUAUCACUAAAUUACCUAUAUGUUAAUUAUAACUCUAUAAUACCAAUAUUUAAGUGGUUUAUAUUGUUAUUACUAUACAUUUUGUAACAAAAUUUAUUUUCAGAACAUUAUUAUGUAACAAUACUAUUUUAAAUAAUUUUUAAUUUUAUUUAUAAAUUCGAAAUAUAUAUGGGAGUCAUAUUAAAUCAGGCCUACAUAAUAUAAAAUAAAUAUUUUGAGAUAUUGUUAAAAAUAACAAAACCUAUUUUUAAAAAGGAAACUAUAAUAUAUUGUACAUGCAAAGUAAUUUUGUAGUAAAAAACUUAUAUGAAAAAUUGCUUGAAAUACACAAAGUUGGAUAAGAUUUUUUAUUUUAUUUUAUUUGAAAUAGAAAUGGAUAUUUCUUUCUAACAAAAUCUUUUUAAGAUUUUUGUAAAAUGAAUUUCUGGAAAUUAUUUAAUUUAAAUUUUUGUUAUCAUUAAAAUAAAAAUAUAAUAUUCGAUAUUAUUUUUUCAUAAAAAAAAUAAUUUGAAAUUCUAAUUUUAUUUUAUGAUAGUUAAAAUUUAAAUUAAUUAAUUUUCGGAAAUAAAAUUUUAAUUGAUUCUGAAAGAUUUUCUUAGAUUUUUUAAACAAUAUUUAUUUGUAUUUUGAAUAAAAGAUAAAAAUAUUAAAGAUAUAAUUAUUAAAAUAUGAAUUAUCACACAUGAAAAAAGUCAUGAAUUAUGUUUUGAUAGUAUAGAUAUUGGUAAUAUAUAAUAGGUACAUAAGUUGAUAUGUAGUAAAUAGUAAUGCACAUUAAUCUUGAUCGAAGUAUAGAAAAAUAUGUAAAACUAUAACUACCAUAUCAUGUCCAGAUUAUGUAAAAAUAAUAUACCAUGAUAUCCGCACAUACCAAAUUUUUCCAUUUAUUGACAAAAGUUAUACUCGAAGUAGCAAAAUCAAAUAACUAGGGCGGGACCAAUUACUCAUAACUAAAAACAAACCAAAUUUAAACCAAAAUUGUUUGAUACCAACCCUAAGCCUAGAAUCAUAAAUAUGCUCCUAAAAUUAUUUAUACUGGUCAAAAAUGAAUGUUACAGCUGGAAACGUAACAUAAUUUAAAAAUUCAAAUAAAUUUUAAAAACAUAUAUAAAGCCCAAAAUCCUUCCACAAAAACCAGACUGAAGUCGUAUGGAUAUCCGAUUGCAUACGAUUGCAUACGCGGCUGCGCCUGCAAAAAACGUACGUUUAAUGUUGUUGUAUUCCAAUCGUAACAAACGCAGUAGCUAUAUUUCAUUCUCUGUAUAUGGACACUUCAAAUACUAGUAUUAUACAUUAAUUACACCGUAACUCGAAAUAUGGAGAAUAAUCUUAUACAUCUUGUUUUUUUUACAUCACUUAUACUUCUUGUUACCAUACGAUAAGUAUAUAAAUGUAUAAAUGAUGUCAAAAUAGUAGCAAUAAAUAAACAUACAGAGUUAGACUUGUUUUGAGCAAAAGGCUGCAUGCAAGGCAAGACUGCUAGGCGAGCACAUGACUCACAUAGGGAAUUGCUCGCAGGUUUUAAUGUCCCAAGAAGACGAAUUCAAUUACAUGCAUUUACUAUAUAUAUCAUUGAUUACUAGAAAUAUACCGCCUUCAGUUCAAGCGAUAUUUAUAAAAUAUCCUAAAUGUAUUUUAUGUUUCCUAUUUAUUAGCUCUAGAAUUUAUCUCAUAUAGAUUUCAAAAUAAUGAAAUUAUAUAUUAGAUUCUUUGAUGUUCAUGUCCAGUUUCAAUUACGAAUUUAGGGAACAAUAAUUUAGCCUAUAUACACAGAGGUCUCAAAUUAUUGGUAAACUAUAUUCACCUUUUUAGUAAACAUAUAGUUUUUUAAAUUAUAUAUUCCCAUUUUUAUAUAGUGCAUAUAUAUAUUUUUUAAUUUAUAUUUGAGUCUGGAUCUUAUUUGACUGUUUCACUCACUCUUGAUAAAAGGUUAUGUGUCUAAAACAAUGUUGCUGGCAGAAAAAUGUCGUAAAAUUGAUGAGGACAGGACACAACAGUGAUAUUAGUGCAAAUCACGAAAAUAAAUGUUAUCUAGCAUGUUACAUAUUCCUUCUGUUUCGUUAAGAUAGAACUUUUUGAGAAGAAAAUGAUUUUACAAAAAUAAUUUUUUUAUUAUUUUUUAAACAAAAUAGCAAAUUUCAAUAAAACUAGUUAGAUUUAUUGAAAGAUUAUUAAUUAAAAAGCAUUCAAAUUUGAUAAUUUAAAAACGAUACAUAAUUGAUGUGUUUUUUAAAUAUAUAUGAAAAUACUAAAACAUCCAUCCGGGAAUAAUGUUUUGAGAUAAACUUUAAACAUGAUUUGAUACUCAUUUUAAAUUCACACAGCCGAAGUUGGCUUUUUCUCUCUCUCGGCUUCUAUAAAUGUCCUUCGACUCCCUCGUCGGAUCAAUGAAAUGUGAAUGAAACUUAGAAAAAAAGAAUCACAGAAAAAGAGAAAAAAAAACAGGAAAGUAAAGGCAUCCGCUUUUAAUAUUACUGCACGAACAUAGAACCUCUUGUCGUUUUGGUCUCUCUUUCUCUUCCUCUCUCUUUGGAACAAAAGAAAAAAUGGGUGAAGUAGAGGGCAAAGAGACUGGGAAGAAGACGAUGAAGAGUUUUAGAAGCAUAAGAUCGAUAUUCAUGCACGCUGACGGUGUGGAUUGGGUACUGAUGGGAUUAGGGUUAAUCGGAGCCGUCGGUGAUGGCUUCACAACUCCCCUUGUUCUUCUCAUCACGAGCAAGCUCAUGAACAACCUUGGUGGCUCCUCUUUCAAGACUGAAACCUUCAUGCAAAGCAUAUCCAAGGUUCUCUCAAUUCUUUCCAUCUCUCAUCUCCUAUGUAUAAUCACUUGGUUUUCUAAUUAGACUUUUUGAUCACAAGCUUUUUUGUCGAUGCUUGAUUGUCCACAAUCCGUUGACAUUUUUAUUAGGUCAUUUUUUAACAGUUUACGGUUUUAACUUUAGUUUAUGACACAUGCACUUCUAGAUUUAUUGUAUGUCUGUAUAAGGAAAGAAGACUAAUGUUUAUUCUUUUUUUUUAAAUCAACAGAACGCUGUGGCUUUGCUCUAUGUGGCUUGUGGAUCUUGGGUUGUCUGUUUCCUUGGUAAAAUAUUAAUAAUGUUGACCUUACUUUACUAUAUAGUAAUUAACCACAGAUUAACUAAUUAAUAUUUAAAUUAUAAAAACAGAAGGAUAUUGUUGGACACGAACAGGGGAGAGGCAAACAGCAAGAAUGAGAGAAAAAUAUCUUAGAGCAGUGUUAAGACAAGAUGUGGGGUACUUUGAUCUUCAUGUCACAAGCACUUCUGAUGUUAUCACAAGUGUCUCUAGUGACAGCUUCGUCAUCCAAGACGUGCUUAGUGAAAAGGUCUCACCAUUUCUAUCUUUCAUUCUAAUCAUUUUUCUUCCUUUUUCUAAACCGGUUCGGUUUGGUGCAGUUACCGAAUUUCUUGAUGAGCGCAUCAAUGUUCGUCGGAAGCUACAUAGUUGGCUUUAUUUUGUUAUGGAGACUCGCCAUAGUUGGCUUACCCUUUAUUGUCCUCUUAGUGAUCCCGGGACUUAUGUACGGCCGAGCCCUUAUAAGCAUAUCUAGCAAGAUACGUGAAGAGUACAAUGAGGCUGGUUUUGUAGCUGAGCAGGCCAUCUCUUCUGUGCGAACCGUCUAUGCGUUUUCCGGGGAAAGGAAAACGAUAUCAAAUUUUUCAGCCGCGCUUCAAGGCUCGGUAAAGCUAGGGAUUAGACAAGGGCUUGCCAAAGGAAUCACCAUUGGAAGCAAUGGAAUCACUUUCGCCAUGUGGGGGUUCAUGUCUUGGUAUGGAAGCCGGAUGGUCAUGUACCAUGGUGCUCAAGGUGGUACCGUAUUUGCAGUAGCCGCCGCUGUUGCCAUCGGUGGCGUGUAAGUAUAUAUUAACAUACAAUAAAGUAUAUGCAUGAUAGUAUGAUACAAUGAGAUAUGCAAAACGGUUUCAACAAUUAAACUAUCAAAAUUACUCACAGCUUUUUAUCUAUGAUAGAAUCCAUUGCGUACGUAUUAGUAUAAAUAGCAUCAGCCAGUUACGUAACCAAUUGGCUCUUUCAAAUAUUUUAAUCUAUUUUUUUAGAAAUUAUUCAAUCUAUAUUGUAAUACUUGCAACUACGUAUGCUAAAAUUUAUGCUUACAAAUUUGAAUGAUUAUAUUAUUCGUUUUGAUAUCUAAAACAUAUUUUAAUUAGUUUUGUACUAUAGUUUCUUUAAAACAUGUUUAUAUAACAACUUUAUGACAUGUAUAUAUAAAUUCAUACUUUUCUUAUGCAUUUAUGUAUGUAUUGGAAUUUAGUUUAAUUCAACGUGUUUACAUAUAAAUCAAUGUUUUGGUGAUUCUUUCCGUAGAGUAGUAAGAUUAAUAUUUAUAAGUGGUUUUCUUGUAACAAAAUAUUAAAAGAGAAUAUAUGUUGAUCUUCGUGAAAUCGUAUCAUGAUCUUGUUCGUUGUUAUUGUUUCAGAUCACUUGGUGGUGGUUUGUCUAAUCUCAAGUACUUCUUCGAGGCGGCUUCAGUUGGCGAGCGAAUCAUGGAAGUAAUAAACAGAGUUCCCAAGAUUGAUUCAAACAAUCCGGAAGGGCUAAAACUAGAGAAAGUCAGAGGAGAAGUUGAGUUUAAGCAUGUGAAGUUUGUGUAUCCAUCAAGACCAGAAACAUCCAUCUUUGAAGAUUUUUGUCUGAGAGUUCCCUCCGGGAAAACCGUGGCUUUGGUGGGAGGAAGCGGGUCAGGAAAAUCAACUGUGAUAUCGCUUUUGCAGAGGUUUUAUAACCCGGUAGCAGGAGAGAUUCUCAUAGAUGGUGUAUCCAUUGAUAAGCUGCAAGUGAAGUGGUUAAGGUCUCAAAUGGGUUUAGUUAGCCAAGAGCCUGCACUUUUCGCCACAUCCAUAAAGGAGAACAUAUUGUUUGGUAAAGAAGAUGCAACGAUGGAUGAUGUUGUGGAAGCUGCCAAGGCCUCUAAUGCUCAUAAUUUCAUUUCUCAGUUACCUAAUGGCUAUGAAACUCAGGUCAGAUUCUAAUUUUAUACUCUAUGUUUCAUAAUAUAAGUUAGAUUAGUCAAAAGUACAGAUAUUAAGAAAAUUACUAUUCUUCAAAAAUAUAAUUUAAUAAUUUUUUAAACACAAACUUACUUUCAUUCAUACUCAAUCUUCUACAAUACAAUAGAAAGAGGAGGGAAAUUAUCCAUCCUCUUUGACAAUAAGCAUAACAUACAAAACAAAAAUAUUAUUUAAUAUAUAGAAUAAAUAUAGUCUAAUCAAUUAUAAAAUCUACAAAACUUAUUUGGUUACAAUAAAGAUAAAAGUUACAUAGAAAUAUGAAAACAAUUUAUAUGUUGAAACAAAAAGAUAUUUAUAAAACAAUUUAUAUUAUCAGACAGAUGGAUUAUAAUUAUCGCAUCUUUUGUAGUGUUAUCUAGAGACUGAUUUAGCUUGUGUAAACAAAUAGGUUGGGGAGAGAGGAGUGCAAAUGUCAGGAGGACAGAAGCAGAGGAUAGCAAUCGCACGUGCAAUAAUCAAAUCACCAACAAUUCUCCUUCUAGACGAGGCAACAAGUGCAUUAGACUCUGAAUCCGAAAGAGUAGUCCAAGAAGCCUUAGAAAAUGCAUCAAUCGGCCGUACAACUAUCCUUAUUGCUCACCGUCUCUCUACCAUUCGUAACGCUGAUGUUAUCACCGUGGUCCGAAACGGCCAUGUUGUUGAGACUGGCUCACACGAUGAGCUAAUGGACAACAUAGAUGGUCAAUACGCUUCACUAGUCCGCUUACAACAGAUUGAAAAAGACGACUCAAGUGUGAACAUGAGCGUCAAUGUGCAAACAAGUCCAACCUUGGAUCCUACUAAAGAUUUCAGAAGUUGUUCAAGAGUCUCGACACUUAGCCGGUCAAGCUCUACUAACUCCGUUACAGGUUCAAGUAUUGUCAAGAAUCUUUCAAAAGAUGAUAAGCCACCUUUACCAUCUUUUAAAAGACUCUUGGCAAUGAAUCUACCUGAGUGGAAACAGGCGUUAUACGGUUGCAUAAGUGCAACCUUGUUUGGGGCCAUACAGCCGGCGUAUGCAUAUUCUUUAGGGUCAAUGGUAUCGGUUUAUUUCUUGACGAGCCAUGACGAGAUUAAGGAGAAAACGAGGAUCUACGCAUUAUCUUUUGUCGGCUUAGCCGUGCUUUCUUUCUUGAUCAACAUCAGCCAACACUACAACUUUGCAUACAUGGGCGAAUACUUGACUAAGCGCGUCCGAGAACGGAUGCUCUCUAAGGUUCUAACCUUUGAAGUUGGUUGGUUCGAUCGUGAUGAGAACUCAAGUGGUGCCAUAUGUUCUAGACUCGCAAAAGAUGCUAAUGUGGUACGUAUAUGAAUAUUAUGAUUUGAACUUUUAACUAACAAUGUUAUAUAACGUUUCUUGAUGCUAAUGUGGUAGUGGUACGUACAUGAAUCUUAUUAUUCAAAUUUUCAAUUAUAACGUUUCUUGAUCACUCUAAUAUCUUUGUUUGGUUAAUGAUAGGUGAGAUCGCUAGUAGGUGAUCGUAUGGCACUAUUGGUACAAACAAUAUCGGCGGUAACCAUAGCAUGCACAAUGGGUCUGGUAAUAGCGUGGAGGUUAGCUCUUGUAAUGAUCGCUGUGCAACCACUGAUUAUUGUAUGCUUCUACACUCGCCGUGUUCUACUCAAGAACAUGUCGAAAAAGGCAAUCAAGGCUCAGGACGAGAGUAGCAAACUAGCUGCUGAGGCUGUUUCCAACGUACGAACCAUCACAGCCUUUUCGUCACAAGAACGUAUCAUGAAAAUGCUAGAAAAGGCUCAAGAAAACCCGCGGCGAGAAAGCAUACGUCAGUCAUGGUUCGCAGGGAUCGGACUCGCCAUGUCGCAGAGCCUAACUACAUGCACGUGGGCUUUGGACUUCUGGUACGGUGGUAGACUGAUCGAAGAUGGGUACAUAACAGCUAAAGCUUUGUUCGAAACGUUUAUGAUCUUGGUUAGUACCGGUCGGGUCAUAGCCGAUGCUGGAAGCAUGACAACGGAUCUAGCUAAAGGUUCGGACGCGGUCGGGUCGGUUUUCGCUGUGUUGGACCGGUACACUUCUAUUGAUCCGGAGGAUCCAGAAGGAUAUGAACCGGAAAGACUAACCGGUCGGGUCGAGUUUCUUAAUGUGGAUUUCUCAUACCCAACUAGACCGGAUGUGAUGAUAUUUAGUGACUUUUCUAUCGAUAUCGACGCAGCGAAGUCUACUGCUAUAGUUGGUCCAAGCGGGUCAGGUAAAUCCACGGUGAUCGGUUUAAUCGAACGGUUUUACGACCCGGUUAAAGGCGUUGUGAAAAUCGACGGUCGAGAUUUAAGAUCGUACAAUCUGAGAUCGCUCCGACAACACAUAGCUUUGGUUAGCCAAGAGCCAACGUUGUUCGCGGGAACGAUCCGAGAGAACAUCGUAUACGGAAGAGCAUCGACGAAUCAGAGAUCAUCGAAGCGGCGAGAGCAGCGAACGCUCACGAUUUCAUCACGUCUUUAACGGACGGCUACGAUACGUACUGCGGAGACAGAGGUGUACAGUUAUCCGGUGGUCAGAAACAGAGGAUCGCCAUCGCUAGAGCGGUUUUGAAGAACCCGUCGGUGUUGCUUCUCGAUGAAGCGACGAGCGCUUUGGAUAGCCAAUCGGAGCGUGUGGUGCAAGACGCGCUGGAGCGCGUGAUGGUGGGGAGGACGAGCGUUGUGAUCGCGCAUAGGCUGAGCACGAUUCAGAACUGCGACGCAAUCGCUGUUUUGGAUAAAGGAAAGCUCGUGGAGCGUGGGACCCACUCAUCCUUGUUGGCAAAAGGAUCCACAGGUGUUUACUUCUCAUUGGUCAGUCUCCAGAGAACAACUUGUUGAAUAACGCUGAUCUGGAAACAAAUAAAACUCUUUAAGCUAAGGGUUAUUGAACAUGUUAUAUGACGCUAUUUCCUUAUUUGUAACCAUUUACAUAUAGAUAUUUAAAACGAUUAUGUUUAAAAGAAGGCUACAGAGGUUCCAAUACUAGAGCAAAUCUAUGUUUUCACUUAGUUUUGAUUCCAUUUGUUGAUAACAACAACAUGCGAGAACUGCUAUAGAUAGUAAUUUUUAUCAACUGAUCACCACCAACUUGUCGUUUCCAUGAGUCGUCCUCGUCCACGAUGAGUUCAUUGACUCCCCAUUUCCAUGAGUCGUCCAUGAUGAAUUCAUUGACUCCCCAUUCUUCAAAGCUAAUUAUAAGGAAUAAUUUUAUUAAUGAUAGGUUCACUUUUCACCAGCUUUGAUACUACUAUUGAAAGCAACUCGUAGCAGACGUACCAAAAGUUUGUGGUUGAUUUGAGUUUCUUUUAAAUAAGAAGUAGCUAGAAUUGGGAACGUUAGAAACUUUGUAAUUAGGUAAGCAUAAUUCCAAAGUAAGAUGUAUACUCAUGACAAAGAAUAAUGAUUUUGCCAGCCCAUAGCCGCACACACAGCUGUAUUCAAACAUCACACUUUUUUUCUUCUUUUUUUGUCAAAUUAAUUAUAAUGAACAACUGCAGACACAAAUGUGAUCUAAAAUCACUUUUAUUAAGAAAGCAGUUGUAUGAUUUACGUAAAACCAAGUGAACGGGUAAUGGCUGCUUUUGGUAAACAUAAAAUAAUUGUAUAAAUUUUCGUGUAUCAAGAUGUUGGAACAACAAAUCUGCACUAUAAAAUGUCUUCGAUUUUCUAUUUUUAAAAAGAUCGAAUUAGCUUUAUUUGUUUUCUUUAUCUACAUCUAGUCUCCACAUACUAGAUUAUGGAAUAAUAAUUGAUACCCAAAAUGGCAAAAAAAUUGAGAAUAGUAAUUAGCUAGUUCUUAUAGGUAAUGUUCUAGCAUGUUAAUAGAACAACAAAUUUGGAAAGCAAGUUUUAAAAGAAUCUAUACGUGUGUAUAUAUAUUACUGAUAAAACGUGGUAAAUACACAUUAUCAACCAAUUUUUCUUUUCAUUUUACUAUAUGUGGGCGUGUGUAAUCCACAUGGAGCUUUCGAAGACUUACCCCAAGCGUAAAUAUUAUUUGACAAACGCAAGAGUGACUGGCGUUCAAUACGAUCUAGUAUAAAUCAAGUGCAGAAUGAGGCAAGAUAGUACGGAUGUGAUAUCAUAUCACCUUGGCUUAUCAACCACGUACAUUUGUUCUGAUAACAUAUCAUACUAUUUUUACCAAAAAAAACAUAUCAUACUAUUAUAGAGUUAGAGAUCUAUCCACUCGUAAACUACGAGCUGAUAUGUUAGUUUUAAUUCUGGAAGAAGCUAACGUGUCAAUAUAACUUAGAAGUGGAUAUUCCCACUUAACAUAAUAUAAGAUGUGUGUAUAUAUAAACGAUUAUAUUUAUUUGGUAUGAUGCUACAAUUAGUAUAUCAUUGUUAAUAUCAGAGAAUAAGCAUAACGCUACUCAAGGAAACAACAAAUUCUAGUCAUAGAUAAGGGUGAAAACCUGCAAAUAAAAUCUAUCUAAACGAGGGAUACUCACAUGCUUUAGUGAAAUACAAGCAUUAAGUUAAUAGUAUUAUUAUAUUCAAAGAGCAUUGCAUCCAAUGAAUGUGAGCUGACCAGUUAAAUAUAUUGUUAUCUUUUGUCCGUCAGUCAAUAAUUAUAUGGUAUUAUUGAGAACAUUAAUACAUAUAUAAUAUAUGUAUAUCGAAAUAAGUAGAAAAGAACAUGGAUCCAUGUGUUCAUUGGACCCAUUAUCAACCCAUACUCUAAGAUGCUGGAUUCCUACAACCUAACAUGCUUUCCUUAUAUAUCAAACAAUGUCUAUGCGUGUAAUGUCUACAUUUACAUGCGUAUUCACUUAAUUAUUAUUAAUUAGUCUUGAUACUAGUAUUUAUCAAAAAAAUUAUGUCAAUAUUGACUAAGAUAGGUUUGUUAAACCUUUCUCUCAACAUUUAUUGCUGUAAACCAAAGAAUGGUUAAACUCUGAGCCAAUCUGAACACUUAAAAAUUCAAGUUCAAAUUCAAGAUUAUAAAUUGGUUUACCAUAUAUAAUGGAUGGAUAUUAAAGACUAGAUAUUCCCAACAGCAUUUGCAAAUUAGAAGAGAGAUGACCAUAUACUGAAAUGGCUAGACUUUGCCAAUAAGUAUUUACCAUUUUUAUAGAACAGUCGGUGUUCCUAACCAGAUGGUGUGCAUAUGUAAUCUGGUAAUGAAAUAAAUGGAUGCAAAUUCAAUGUUAUCUUGGUCAUCAAUGUAUCCUUAAUACUUUUUCCAUAUACAAUGAACACUAUUCACGUACCAUUGAAUGUUAUUAUCAAUAUAAAUUUGAACUUAUUACUUUGUACUUUCGCCGUUUCUCAAAAGAAAUGUUCUAGAAAGAUUAUAGAAAAAAAAACUAUCUACAAAAAGAACAUUGACAUUGACUAGGCAUUGACAAUAAGAAACGAGUUUCAAACGAACUUAAUUUGACCGUGUUUCCUUUCCUUACAAAACCGCGUUUCAGUUCUUGUCUUCGUCUUCUUCCUCGACCCUUCUCUCUAUCUCUCCUCCAGAAACUCAAAACUAAAACCUUAAAAAGACCUCUGCUUUGAGAUCUUACCCACUCUUCAAACCCGAUCACUUCUCUCCGAUGAUGUCUAGUUCAAGACUAAUAAUAAUCUUCACAAUAAUCUCUGCAGCCUUCCUCACCGUCGGAUCAAUCCGAUUGGUUCCAGACGAUAAAUCUUCAUUCAACGAUGGAUCUUCAGAUUUCAUGGAGGCUCCAGGAUACCAAAACGGACCAAAAUGCUCUGUUCUACCCCAAAACAAACUCUUGUUAGCUUGCGACCCUUCAGCUAUUCACAUAGCGAUGACCCUCGACCCAGCUUACUUGCGUGGCACGGUAUCUGCAGUCCACUCCAUCCUCAAACACACCUCUUGCCCUCAAAACAUCUUCUUCCACUUCAUCGCUUCGGGUCCCCACCACGGUCCCCUCGCGAAGACUCUCUCCUCUGUUUUCCCUUCUCUGAGUUUCAAAGUCUACACCUUCGACGAAACCAUCGUCAAGAACCUCAUCUCUUCUUCCAUAAGACAAGCUCUCGAUAGUCCCUUGAACUACGCAAGAAGCUACUUGUCAGAGAUUCUCUCCACGUGUGUUCAUAGAGUGAUCUAUCUAGACUCGGAUGUGAUCGUGGUCGACGAUAUCAAGAAGCUAUGGAAGGUUUCUUUAACCGGAUCAAGAACCAUCGGCGCACCAGAGUACUGCCACGCUAACUUCACCAAGUACUUCUCAGAUCGUUUCUGGUCAAAUCCAAAACUCUCUGGAGUCUUUGAGUCCAAAACGCCUUGCUACUUCAACACGGGAGUGAUGGUGAUCGAUUUAGAGAGAUGGAGAGAAGGAGAGUACACGAAAAAGAUCGAGAACUGGAUGAAGAUUCAGAAAGAGGAGAGGAUUUACGAGCUGGGUUCGUUGCCGCCGUUUCUGCUGGUGUUUUCAGGAGAAAUUGAAGCUAUUGAUCACCAGUGGAACCAGCAUGGUCUAGGUGGAGACAAUGUGGUGAGUAGUUGUAGGUCUUUGCAUCCUGGUCCGGUGAGUUUGAUACAUUGGAGUGGGAAAGGGAAGCCGUGGGUGAGGCUUGAUGAUGGUAAGGCGUGUCCUGUUGAUUAUUUAUGGGCUCCUUAUGAUCUUCACAAGUCACGGAGACAGUAUCUUCAAUACAGUCAAGACUUAGACAUUCUUUGAUUCAUUCUAAUUUUUUUUUGUUAGUACAAAGUUUUGCUCUUUUUCUGAUGUAAAUAAAACUGAAUUACAUUUGAGGUUUUACCUAUUCUGUUGCUCUAUCAGUGCUUUGAUUUUGUUUGUUUUAUGUGUCAUUCUUUUCUCAUAGCAUCCUUAGUAUUUGGGUGAUGAAACAAAUGGAAACUGAGAAAUAACAAUGAAUUGAACAAACAUAUUAAUUAAGGGCAUUCAUUUCUGUAGGAUGUUAUAUUUAUUUGAAUGCGUCUACUUUAUCAAGUAGAGGUUUGCUGGAACUCUGUUUCUCAAACAUUGUGGCCUCUGUUUUUUUCACCCCUUUCAUUUUAAUAAAAGUCUUGACUAGUGUUAAUCUUUUUUUAUCAUAUGGAGGAUUGGCUGAGCAUAUAGACUCAUAUGGUGCACCACUUUUGCCCUUGCAGGUGUAGUUCUGAUUUUUCUUAAAAGAGUAUAUUCAUUCUCUUGUAUAUUGAAAAAGUCUGAUCCUUUUCUUGUUUUUUAAUCUGCUGAGUUUGGACAAGGAGUUUUGGAGAAUAUUCCUUAUGUUCCAGUGAGAGAGAGGUAGAAAACUCUUUACUCUGCCUUUUAGCUUUGUUGCUCCACAUUGUUUGUUCUGUUCUAUAGAUGUAGAAAUGUAGCCUUAUGUUCUUCUAGUGUUUGCUUGAGUAGAGAAUUUGUAUAUGUCAACAAUUAGACAAAUGGUUCUUAAAUUUUCUGCCCUUUGUAGCUAAAAUUUGAAUCUUUUUUGUUCAUAAGAAAAGAGUGCCAUUGUAUGCUUUUCUCAACUCUUGACAAUGAUUUAGCUUGGUAAAAGCCUCUAAACAUAUCUUCUUGUUACAUACUAAACACAAACAUUAAUCAUUUGAUGUAAUGCAGACUAUUACAAAUGCCACGCAUUAAAAUGCUCUUGGAAACAAUUGAUUAUUAAUCAUACAUGAGAAACAUUUUGUUGAUGCAAACUGUUGCAAUGAAAGGAAAAAAAAACUAAAAGGAUCUAAUCGAAGGAGAAGAACUUGAUGAAACAGAAGCUGUUCCUCUUCCACAUCCUUUCUCAUUCCUCAAACUCAAAGCUUCCAUAAACUUCUCAUUCCAUCUCGACCUUGUCCCUGAGUUAGCAAGCGUCUUCUUGUUACAGACAUGAUCUGUCGGAAACCGAUGUUUCAGACAAAACUUAACUCCACAAUCUUUGCAAGUAAUGUUGUUAGCAAAUGUCAGAACCUCUUUGCAACGCUUCACAGGACAAAUGGGUUUCUUCUUCUUACUCGGAUCACAAUCUCCAGAUCUUUCGUGUUUCUCAAGCAAAGACUUGAUCCCUUCUUGGUCAAAACCAGUUGUUUCGAUUGCAACAGAACAUGUUUCGCAGAUGGAAACUGUUCUGCUUCCGUGGUCUGAGUUUGGACAAUCGUGGGACUUGUAUGAUCUAUGCUCCAAACAGAACACCUAUAAAUUUUCAUUUAAAGAAACAUUAUGGAAAGAUUUCUUGCAGGAAAAGAAAAGAAAAAGUGAAACUUCCAGUAAAGAUUUACCAAUUUGCAGCCGUCACAAGUGAAAGGGAGAAAGUCGAGGAGUUUGCAGUCAGGGUUUUGGCAAUGCUCUCCAAGAUCAGGAAACGCUUCUGUUCCUCCUCCUCCUGCCAUAGCUUUUCUUCUUCUUCUUCUUGUUAUUAUUCUUGUCUUCGACAUUGGUUUGUUUUUGAUUCCGAGAGACGUAUGAAUGUAUAGAGAGAGAUCUAUAUAGGGAGAGAGGUUGGGUCUGACUUGAAGGCAAAGCCAGCGUUCUCCAAGUUGGUUUCUUCCUCUGCUUGACAAUUCUUGUUUUUUUCCUUAUUUAGAUUUUUUUUUUUAAGUGGGAAAGUUUUAAUAAUUAGAUAAAACGCGGUUUGGAUGUUUCUAGGCCCGUUUUCGGCCUAUUUUCUUUGAAUCCUUAAAAAGAAAAAGAAAUCCUUAAAAGAAAAUAAACUAAUAUUACAUUUUUCCUAUCUUAUUUAGGUAAAUAAAUUAUAAUUAAUACUAAGAUAACCAAAAAAUUAAAGUAUUAUACUACUUUGAUUGCUUUAAUUACAUUUGUUCUGAAGCUUCUUCAUGUAUGUUAAACCAAUCGGUUUAGCAAGACUUUCCAAAACGAUUAUGGUGAAGAUGUUUAGAAAACCCAUCUCACUCUGAUCAAUAGCAGAAUCUUAAACCAUUCUUUGUACAUAACACCUAAGAGGCAUAUGAUUAUUAACCCUUAGGCCAAUAUUAUAUAACAAAUUAAUCGUUUCACUCAUUUAUCUGAAACUGGACAUUAUAAGUUUUUUGAAAAUUAUGUAUAAAACCCACAUGUAAGAAAGGGAAAAGAAUUUAAAAAACAAACAAAAAAAUAAGCGAAUAUAAACGGGUUUAUCUCCCUUCUUCGUCUUCUCUGUCUUUGCUUUGUGUGUGUGUCUAGUUGAUCUGUUCUCCGAUCAAAUCCAACCCUACAACCAAGAAAGACAGUCCCUGAAACAGCAAGAAGUAGAAGUGAAGACCAUGCGCCGACAGAAAGCUUCUUGCAGCUGCGGUUAGAAGCAAGAACGCAAGCCCUAGCUCUUUCUUAAACACCAUGUUCCUCUUCUUGAUCUUGUUACUCGGCCUCACUAGCCCUCCAAUGCUCUUCUUCGGGGUUUCUUGUACUGCAAGAUUCAUCUCUUGCUCCUUGAGUUUGCUCAGAAGCUCCAAACCCGACUCCGAGUUUCUCCUAUGCAACUUCUCUUCCUUUUCAGCAAACGCUAGCAAGUCAGAUUCAGAUGAUCUCCCAGUCUUCUUGGUCACAACCCACUCGUAAGCCGAUCCAAGCUGGAACAACCCAGAGAUCAUGGCGUUGAACUUGGUUAUGGACAUUGUGUUUUCGAAAAGGAGGUAAGGGAUUAAGAAAGGGAAAGAUUUGGGUGAGGGAAGAAUGUUGAGAAGUGAAAUGAAGAUGGGAACGUAACAAAUGAUCCACAAAGGAAGCUCUGCUUCAGGUAUGAACAUUGUUAGUGGAAGUAUGAUGCAGAAGAGUGUGAAUGAGUAAAAGGGUAGAAUAAGCUUUCUUAGAAGAAAGAAGAGGAAGAUCAAAUUUGCCUUCUUCCCUACUGAUAUCUGCAAAAUCAAAAACAGGAAAAACAAACAAUUCAGUCUUAUUUAUAACCGUUCUGAGUAUAACAAAAUAAAACAUUCGUCUAUGCCCCUCAAAAUAUUAGUAUAUAUAAUCCGGCUUCCAAAUUUAUUAGGAGAAUAUAUGUAUUAGUUAUUUAGUAACGAUUUUGAAAAAAAUAGUUUUAGAAGUUGAAUUUUAGUUUUAAUUUGUUUGUUUAAUUAUAUAUAUUAAUUAUUUAGUAAAAUUCAAAUUAUUCAAUAAUUUUUACACAUGUAGAUAGCCGAUUUUUUAGAACAUUUAUGGUUAUAGAAAUUGAAUUUAAGUAUUAUUUACCUUUGAUUUUAUGAUAGAAGGAAGGCAUAACCGGAAAAGUUGCAUAGGACCAGAAUGCCAACGAUGUUGCUGCUUCUUGUAAGCUUCAUAAGACUCAGGCAACUCGCAAGUGACUUCAACGUCAUUGAGGUAAAUGAAUUUCCAACCGUUGAGAUGCGCUCUGACCGCGAUAUCCAUGUCUUCAACCGUGGUUCUCUCGAGCCACCCGCCGGAUUCUUCCAAUGCUUUGAUCCUCCAGACUCCUGCGGUUCCGUUGAACCCAAAGAAAUUGAGAAACACGCCGUUCACUUGCUGUUCUACUUCGAAGUGGAAACAUAGGUUUAUGUUUUGUAGCCUUGUCAGGAGAUUCUCGUCUUUGUUCACAAAGGACCACCUUGCUUGGACUAAUCCUAGCUCUGGAUUCCCCUGCAACAAACAACACAACACACACUCUUUUUAGCUUCUUGAUGAUUGUUUCAUUAUCAUAUGCUAAGCACAAUUAAUAUAUGUUUUUAAGUAAUAAACUCCAGUUUUGCAAACUAAAAUAUUUAAUUUUUUAUUUAAAAUAUAAAAUACAAACUGUUUUCAAAAUAGUACUUUAUCAUAAACCUAAUCUUGAUGACUCUGUUUACAGCUUACAAAAAUGAUGAUUAACAUACUAUUUUAUUACAAAAUAAACAGAGUGAAGAUUAGGUUCAACUAGUCUAAAUAUGUAGAAUCAUGAUGUGAAAAUCAUCCAACGACGUGUUGAUUUUUGUAAAUUAGUUUUGUCGGUUACUUUAAUUUCAUACACAACAUAUACAACUUUUCCUAAAACUUUAUAUUAUAUUUGUCGGCUACUCUCAACAUGACCCACCGAAAAAGAAUGAAUAAAAAAAUCGAGACAACUGUCGGUGACGAGUAUAAUUGGAAGAUUAUAUUCCCAUUAAAAAAACAUUGUGAAAAGAGUAAAUAUUUUUCACUUAAUUUUUUCUUGAAACAUCAUCGUAAAUUACGAAACUUAAAAAAAACAAUUUCCUUUUGUACUUAGAAUAGAUUGAGUGUGAUUGAUUGGUUUACCUUGAAAUGAGGAAUAGUCUUCAUGAGGAAAUCAGGACUUGGCGUAAAGUCUGCGUCGAAAAUAGUAACGAACUCGUAAUCUUUAACGUAAUCACAUGUCAUCGCAGACUUUAGAUUCCCAGCUUUGUAACCAGUUCUGAUCAACCUAUGCCUGUAGAUAAUGUUCACUCCUUUCUCUGCCCAAGCAGCUACUUCUUCCUUGAUCAAAAGCUGUAAGUUUGGAUCGUCUGAAUCGUCAAGAACUUGAAUCAAGAUCCUAUCCUUCGGCCAAUCAAGCUGUGAUGCUGCUCCUAUUGAUUGUUCAUACACCUACAAAGAACAUAACACAACAGUUACAGAACAGAACACAAAACAGAGUAAAAACAGAGCAAAAACAGAGUAAAACAGAGCAAAAAACAGAGUAUGUUUAUAGUUUACCUCUCUUUCAUUGCACAUUGGGAUCUGAAUAAGGACCAUUGGGAAGUUUGAUGCGUCUUCUAGAUCGAGCUCAUCGUCUUUGAGCUUAGGUUCGAUCUUCUUGAACUUGAUCCAGAAGCAACCGAGACAGAGGACCAACCGAUCAAGAGACUGGAUCAAGAAGAGGACAGUGCAGAACUUGGAGAGAGUGAUGACAAUAGGAGCGAUGUAAUCGGAUCGAAACGAGAGCCAAGCCACGUAAGACCACUCGACAAGCCCACGAACCUCCCAGGACGGUCGGUUCACGAGAUCUAGAUUCCAGUUCUUGUAAUAAGCGACGAUUUCUAUUGACAAGGCGACUAUGGAGAUGAGGAGACAGGCUUUGAUGAAUCUGUACAUUUGUUUUCCUCUGCUUUUGGGAUCUUCUUCUUCGUUUAUGGCUUUGGAGGAGAAAGCGAGACGCUUUUUGACCGAGGCGAAGAGCCACGAGAGGGAAGAGACGAGUCUGUGAGCUUUGAGGAGGAUGAACCAUGAGAAUUGCUUUGGGCUGAUGGAUUUGCGUUUGUUGUCAGGGAAUGAGGAUGGAUCUGAGCCGUUGAUCUCUAGUAGAGAGAAGUUGUCUGGCUUCUCCAUUGUCACUGCCACUGAGUUUGGAGCCAUGAAUGAGAGUUUAGAAGAGGGAAAAAACAGAGUAAGAGAACAAAGAAGAAGAAAUGAUUUUGUGUCGUCACUGUUUCAUUUAAUUUUCCAUGAAAACUGGAUCUUUUGUUUUAACAGACAAAACAGAGAUGAGCUCAGAGUCUGAGCAGCUGCGUAACUGAAACUUGUGAUUAGUUGAGAGAGAGAGAGAGACGAGGAGCAUGUGAUGAAGUGAACAACUUGUAAUAAAGAGGAGAGAAGAGGAACAAGAGAGUCCUCCUUCCUUUGCAUUUUCCUCUCUUUACCCUCAUUUUUUAUAGGAAACGUUUGCUUCUUUUUAAAUUUUUUUUUUUUUAAUUUUGACGGCAGGUCGUUUUACUUUGUUUUCUUUGUGUGAAAAGUCCAAUGCUUCUUAUUAUUACUACUGCUUCUUGAUAAAAAAAAAGGGUUAUUACUACUGGUUCUUUUUUUCCUGGACGUCCUCUUAUUUCUUAUUAUUUCUAGCUUCAACAAAUAAAAAUGCAAUUUUAGCCAUUAAUUUGAAAAUAGCAUCAAAUUUAAGAUAAAGCUCAAAUUUUCUUUAAAAUAUAGAUCAUAAAAUAUCUUGUCUAAAAAUUAAAAUUUAAGCUUUUUUUUUUUUUGAACACUAUUAAAAUUUAAGCUUUACCUAAAUUUUAACCGUUAAAAUGUUCUCUUAAACAAAGUUCAUCGAGUUUAUUACUUCUGCUCGAUAAUUUGAUAAAGUUUACCAUUGUGAUGAUUAUAUUAUCUAGGUCAAUUUUAGGUUACCAUUGAAAGUUUGAAACUCUACAUUCCCAUUCUACUAUAUUUAAAACAUAAAGGCUAAUUUGAAAAGCAGAGACGCGUCUACUUAAUAUUAUAGGAAAGUUUAGAUCUAUUUUGCCAUAAUUUAGGAAAUACUUUUUUGGUUCUUUGAGUAAUUAAAAAAUACUUCUGAGGAUACGAAUCAUAAAACCGUGUGGACACAUGCAUGUUAUGCAUAUUAAGAAGAAGUAUGAAUCAAACUCAGGGAAAAUAAGAUGAUUUUUUAAUAGGAAGCCAAUUCUAUAAAAAAAAAAAGGAAAAUAAGAUGAUUCCAAGAAUAUCCCUAAGAAAAUUUGAAAGAUUGGUAAGGAAUUGGAAGAUGACAACUUGAUCCAGCGAAGACCAGAUUAAACAUAUUAAAAUGUAAGUUGAUCAACUUUUGUAAAUUACUUUUGAUUCAAAGUACACUUAUAGAGAGCUGAGCUCUGUUGUCCCUUCACUGUCUUCUAACUUCUUUUCGACAAUAUAAUAAUUAUUCUGGUUCACAGUGUUAAAUGUAUCCGCUUAUUGUAGCCCAUUGAUUGGGAUUAAUGUUUUUCCCUCGUAAUUUUUAUUUCACGUAUCCCCUACAUUAUUCUAUUGUAUAUUAUAGUUAUUUUAUCCAAAAAGAGUAAACCAUUUCUCAAAAGGAGUUAAUUUAAGGGAAUUUGCACCUUAUAAGUUAUAACCAUUAAAAAACACAAACUUACCAUCUAACAAAAAUCACCCUCUCUCUCUUUAUUUCUGUCUUAUCUCUCUAGCAUCUUAGUAAAAAUCUAAUUAUUCUUUUUUUCUUUGGUUGUUUGGCAAAUAAACCCUUAAUUUAAAGUAUAGUAGUAACUAAGAAAAAGACAGCAACCGUAACUGGUGGAGAGAAAGGCAUUGGAAGUUUCUGUUUUACGAACAUAACUUGUUAUAUUAUUAUAUUGAUAUCAUACAUCACGAUAAAUAAAAACAUAACAAAAUCGGUGGAUAAAUAUUGAAAACGAGUUUGACUUAGGAUAAGAAUAGUACUACUAUUACACACUGCAAUACAGCUAUACAAGUUAUAAACCUCACGUCUUUACCACUUGCGUUUACAUACACUUGAUAUUAUUUUAUAUGACAUGCUUAUGAUGAUAGUUAUAAAUUGACCAGAUUUAAUUAGCAGUUGGUCUAAAGCGCGCAUGAGCUGGUAAAUGGUAAUAAUACUUCACACUUCUAUUACUUUGACUAUCUAGCACUCAUUUCAUUUGGCUACACUAACAAAGUUAGCAUUACUGGACGUAGUCCUUCAUAUCUGUUUUUGGCAAACAUAUCUUAUGAAGAAUUUAAUUUUCAAUAAUAAUGAGUUUUCUUGCUGAUGGGGAUUCCUCCCACUUAGCACUUAUUAGGUUUAAUUGCGUGGCCAGCAAACAAUUGUUUAUAUUGUAUGUGUUAUGUGUUAUACUUUAGGAAAAACCAUUUGCAAUAUAUACUAAUAUAUGUGUCAUUAAUAGAGGUACAUGCUUUCUCCUAAACACAGUCUCACUGAAGUAAGGUCUACCACAUGAGAAGGCCUAGUUUUGUAUCUUCUAUUCUCAAUCAUAUAUUCAGGUUUUGGUAUGUAUCUCGCUUAUUAUAAUUUUAUAUUUAUCAAUAAUGCACGACGCUUCUAAGAUUUUUCAGAUGCAAUCGGUGGGGUUCUGUUUUUUAUUUACUGAAUUCUUAUUUCCCAUCGUAAGAAAGAGAAUAGGGCUGUUCGUUUGGUUGCCGCAGGUACCGCGGCAGCGGCAGCGUCAACAUUCUGCGUCAACUCUUGUUCGUUUCGUUGACGCAGGAACCGGCGGCAGCGGCAGCGUCCGAACGCUGCGUCCUGCGGCUGACACCGAUAAAACCUGCGGUCGCGAUAUGAUAUGCGGCAGCGGCAGCGGCAGCGUCAGCGUCUGCGAAACGAACAACAACUGUCCUCAUUGACGCUGCUGCCGCCGCUGACGCUGCCGCUGCCGCUGACGCCGAAACCUGCGGCAACCAAACGAACAGGGCUUAAGUGUUUUUGUGUUUUCGAUAAGGUAGGAGACUUAGUUAUUAUAUCCGUAACUUAGAUCUUAUUUAUGUUGAUUGGUCAAUUUCAUCAAUCAGACAAUAUUUUAACUGCUUCGGAAUCAAAUAAGUCUUUAGCUAUUUGUUUUCAUAUAUAUAUGGAAAGUCUCAAAACAUAUUAUGAUCUCUAUCCCUAGACUCUCAGGCAUCACCAGAUCUCGAUUUCCUGAAAACGUACGAAACUUCUUGAUAUCAAUAAAAGUUUUCGAACAAAGUAGUCAAAUCCAAAAUCAAUGAACUCGGAGCCAGUAUGUCCCUUUUAGUAUUCAUUGAGAGUUGAAGUAAAUCAAGAAUAAUGCGCCCCCCCCCCCUCGGAUUGUAUAUGGCCCUGUUCGUUUGCUCACCCAGGUGAUCCAUCUGGGUGAAGAUGCAAAUUGAUGUUCGUUUAGUGCAUUAUAAUGCUACAUCCAGAUGGAUCACCCAGCUGAACUCAUCUCAAAUUCUCACCCAAAUGAAGGUGAGUCUUGAUGGUGCAUCUGGAUGCAGAUGCAUCUAGUUCAGNNNNNNNNNNNNNNNNNNNNNNNNNNNNNNNNNNNNNNNNNNNNNNNNNNNNNNNNNNNNNNNNNNNNNNNNNNNNNNNNNNNNNNNNNNNNNNNNNNNNNNNNNNNNNNNNNNNNNNNNNNNNNNNNNNNNNNNNNNNNNNNNNNNNNNNNNNNNNNNNNNNNNNNNNNNNNNNNNNNNNNNNNNNNNNNNNNNNNNNNNNNNNNNNNNNNNNNNNNNNNNNNNNNNNNNNNNNNNNNNNNNNNNNNNNNNNNNNNNNNNNNNNNNNNNNNNNNNNNNNNNNNNNNNNNNNNNNNNNNNNNNNNNNNNNNNNNNNNNNNNNNNNNNNNNNNNNNNNNNNNNNNNNNNNNNNNNNNNNNNNNNNNNNNNNNNNNNNNNNNNNNNNNNNNNNNNNNNNNNNNNNNNNNNNNNNNNNNNNNNNNNNNNNNNNNNNNNNNNNNNNNNNNNNNNNNNNNNNNNNNNNNNNNNNNNNNNNNNNNNNNNNNNNNNNNNNNNNNNNNNNNNNNNNNNNNNNNNNNNNNNNNNNNNNNNNNNNNNNNNNNNNNNNNNNNNNNNNNNNNNNNNNNNNNNNNNNNNNNNNNNNNNNNNNNNNNNNNNNNNNNNNNNNNNNNNNNNNNNNNNNNNNNNNNNNNNNNNNNNNNNNNNNNNNNNNNNNNNNNNNNNNNNNNNNNNNNNNNNNNNNNNNNNNNNNNNNNNNNNNNNNNNNNNNNNNNNNNNNNNNNNNNNNNNNNNNNNNNNNNNNNNNNNNNNNNNNNNNNNNNNNNNNNNNNNNNNNNNNNNNNNNNNNNNNNNNNNNNNNNNNNNNNNNNNNNNNNNNNNNNNNNNNNNNNNNNNNNNNNNNNNNNNNNNGAAAAACUCAUUUUUCCGCGAAAACCGGAAAAGAGCAUUUUUCCCGCCAAAACCAGAAAACUGAAUUUUCCCGCCAAAACCGGAAAAAUGUAUUUUCCCGCCAAAACCAAAAAAAUAUACUUUUCCGCCAAAACCGCCAAAAUGAUUUUCCAAGCCAAAGUCGCAAAAAAUAACUUUUCCCUCCAAAAUCGUGAAAAAAUAUUUUUCCCGCCAAAACUUCAAAACACACUUUUUCCAUCCAAACCGCAAAAACGUAUUUUCCGUCAAACCCAUAAAACGUAUUUUCCGUCAAAACCAUAAAAAUGCAUUUUUCGCGAAAAACACAUAUUUCCUCAAAAACCGCAAAUAUAUUUUCAGCCAAAACCGUUAAAAUGCUAUUUUUCCGCCGAAACAUUAAAAAUUAUAUUUUAGUCAUUUUAUUAACAAGUUCACCUGGAUGCAGAUGGAAGUUAAAAAAUGAAAAUCAAACGAACAUAGUUGCAUUCAGAUGAUUCAUCUGGAUGCAUGGACGAAAUGAAGAAACGAACAACACCCAGAUGGAGCAUCUGGGUAGGACAUCUAGAUGGACCAUCUGGAUGCAUCUUCCAGAUGUACAAACGAACAGGGCCUAUAUGAAAUUGAUAUGUUGAGAAAACUAAUAUUUUGCGUGAUAUAUAAUUUUUUUAGAAAAACACGCAUAUAACUCGAUGAACGUUAAAAUAGUCUCCAAUGGAUAUAUUAUAUAUAAACUCGUUUCUUGUUUUAUCUUUGUAGGCGUUAACACCGCCUCUUGUGGUUAUUUUUGUCACACUUUGCAAAGUAAAUAAAACCAGCACAAACAGAAUUGACUAGUACAUGUAGAAAGAGGAAUGUGGGUUUUUAUUACUCCUAAUCUUUAUCUGGACCCUAAAGGAACAUAUGGGUCAUUGGGAGUUCAUGUGGCUGUAUGCGAGUGUGUCCUAGCAACCAAGCAAUUGCAAAAUCAAAAUCAAGGAGAUAUUGAAGAGAUAAGCCAAAGUGAACAUGGGACAUGUCUUCAACUCUUAAGCUAAUGUUUUAAGUUUAUGUGAAUUUCCAUUGGCAUUGUCACAUGUGAAAUUGUACUAUACACAUGUGGCGUGACCUCUCUGGCCAUGAUUGUAUAAUAAUGUGCAUACAUUAAAAUAGAUUUCAAAUCAUUUAUUAAUUGAGUUAUUUUCUUUCUUUGAUUCUGAUAAUUGGACCUGGGAUUUCAUAAUAAAAUCUCCAGGGUUCUCAUAAUUUAGCUACGAACCCAUAUAUAUCAUAGUAAUUGGAUCUGCAUUUAUGGUUAAAUUUGGAAUAUAAUCACCUACUUUAUCAAUUAUAUAUAUAUUUGUUAAGUAAAUUCCUUGUUAAAAGAAAGAAGGUUAGUGUAUUAACGAUCAUCUACUAGCAAAUAAUUUUUAAUUUUUGAUCAUUGGUAAAACUUUUUUUUAAAGAGGGUAUAUAUAUUCAUUUGGGAUAUGUCAAAGGAAGUCUAAGAUUUUCUACGACGUAAUUUUCAAGUAGUUAGAAACAAUACCACAACACAAUGACAUUGCAACCAUAACUCGCAACCUGCUAAGUUGUUAUAUUGUUCCCAAUGACAUUGUCACAUUAAUAUAACCACGUCCUAAUCAAAAUAUAGGACCUCCAAAGUUAUUAUGUCCAAAAGGAAAAAGGUGAAAUAUUCAAUUACAAAAAAUAAGAGAAUGUGAGCUUCUUUGUAGAUGAUAUAUAUGCAGAGUGUAUGUAAGCUUCCUUUUUAUUCGUAUUAAAAGUUUGUACCGUCCGACUAAUUAGAGAAUGGACUCGGUAAAUUACUGAAUUGAAACCAAUAGCUGAUCAAUAGUUCAAAAUAGAUUGUUGCAGAAUACGUUUAUUUAAGCUCAGAAGUAGUUUGAAUUAUGAGGCAAAACUUAAAAACGUUUGUCUGUCUGAUCAGUCCAUCCAAAUUAAGAGUGGUUCAAGGUGGUGUAAAAUCAAUACUUACGGUUAAUGGGUUCUGAUCUCCAAGAAUUGCCAUGGAUCCCCCACAGUAUAAGAAGAACAAAAUAUAUCCUCAAGACUUUUUUUUUGUUCAACAUAUCCUCAGACUUUAUAUUCUUUUUAAAUGACUAUAAAAUUUUGGACUCAAAAGAUCCGCAUAUCUCUGUAGGACGAGGUUCAAAGUAUGUUAAAUUGAUUUUCUUUAGAAAAAUAUAUCCUUCUCAACAAGAAUAAAACAUCCAACCCCUUGAACAUGUACUAAUUGAUCAAAGAGUUUAGUAUUGUGUUUUGGUGUUCUUAAGGAUUGUCUUAUGGUUUGUACGUAACUAAUGACUAUUCAUUCGCAGAUUUUAUGAAAAGGAAAUAUACAAGAAAGGAAAAAACUGAUUGAGUUCAUUUUUAUAUUUUUAAUCUUACACGAAACACACAACAAGAAUUGUCUGCAGUCACUAACGAUUUUUCGCAACUGAUACUUUUCUCUGAUUCAAAAUCUCUUGUUAAACCCUCAACUUCUCUUCGUCAACAGUUGAACUUCAGAGCUUAUUGUUUGACUGAACGUUGAGGAUUAUGGUGUCACUUAACACCACAAAAUGUUAUAAAUAAAAUUUGUUAGCUUUACAUCAUAGACGAAAGUGGCACAUUUGGUUGAAAAGAUUAUCUGUGAACCAACAGAUCCGGUUUCAAAGUCCCCUACUGAGAAUUUUAUUAUAUAAUUGACCCCUCAUAAAUUUUUUCUUGAAUUCGCCACUGGAGCUGUAGGUUCGAAAUUAUCUCCUUCUCUUUUAUCCCUUUGGGCAAUGUAACCGCUGAUUUUGUAACUACGUCAGGUUUGCUUUCUUCUGUAAACGCUCCCUUUGAGGAGUAACUCUGUUUCAAUGGCAACCAAGUGGUUCAUAAAAAAAAAGAAUUGUCUACAAUCUACAUGGACUUGGUUACAAUACAAGAUUUUAAAGUGCAAUGAUGGGUCUGAUGGAGUAAAUAGUAGUACUAUGUAUUAUAUUUAUACAUAUGACAUAAAGUACUACAACAUAUAACGAAGAAGUUUUCUCUUACAAAUAAAUUGUGUAUUGCUAGUUCCAUUUUCAAUUGUACUUACAAGUAUCACUUAAACAAAAACACUAUCCUAACACGUUCAAGGAUGUAUACAUAACCCAAGAACUCCUCAUGGUGCCAAAUAUAAAGCACCUCAUUACCUACUUAUACUAGUAGAUUUCAUGGUUCCCCUAUCCAAUUUCUCAAAAAAAGAAAUAUUCUCCUAUCUUUCUUAUGGAAUAUUUUCAAAAUUUCUACAAAUUAUUUCUCAGUGAUUUUGUUCUCUAGGAUGUAAAUCUUUACUUGCUUAACCUCCAAUUUUAAUAUAUCUUUAGGUCGGCCUCCAACUCCUUUCUUCAAGUCAAGUAUACAGUUUCGUUUUCUGUAGCAUUUCUUCUACUAAUUCAUGUAAUAUUUCACGACUGAUACAUAAUCACUUCCAAGAAUUAUUUGUCUUCGGCUUCUAAAACUCAAUCUUCACUUGUACUAACAGUUUUGAUGAUCUCUUUGAUGAACAUAGUUUGGUAUAAAACUCUACCUAAAAGGCUAGAGUUGCUUAAACAUUCAUGUAUAAAUUAUGAGAGAGAUGAUGGAAGUUUUUGACGAAUGAGGAUCCAAAGUUGAAUACCUAGCAUUUCAUUAGAUUUGUGAAUUUGAGCUUGUCAUGUGCGAACCUGAUUCAAAAUACUACAACUUUCUUCUUAUCAAUGUGAUAUGCAUGACGUAUACAUCGAAGAACAGUAUUGCAGUUGGCAAACACUCGGUACUAUUCGACCCUAAGAAGCAAACAUGAUAUGGAUAUGACACAUUUAAUUUUAAAAAGUUUUUUUUUUGUAUUAUAACCAAAGUAACUUUUAAAAACGAAAAAUAGUUUUUUUUUUAGAAUCUAAAAUGUUUACGUAUCGCUGCAUUUGUUAGAUGAAUUAUCCUUCAAAAUUAUUGAGAUUCCCAUAAUCGGCUCUUAUCUCGAACUAACAAUUUGUAUAUUAUCAUCUAAAAGCCUUUCGUCAUAGAAUUUAUUUUUAUAAUAAUGUACUCUCUUCAUGAAUAUACAGUUUAAAAUCAGAACCAAAUGCUUAUUUCUUCCACAUUCUCUAACCGUUCUUAAUAACCAAUUCUACCAUAUUCGUCUUACUAAUUGGUAGCCAUAUAAGCGAUUUGUUUCCAACCACAACUUUUGGCAGCUAUAAUCAAAGCCAAAUUGUGUAUGUUGUUCCGAAUCAAUGAAAGCUCUCAUAAUUUUAGAAAUCACUACAAUUAGACAUGUUCAAUCCUGAUCUGGUUCAAUUUUUUUCUUUCUGUAUUUCGGUUUUAUAAAAACUAACUACCACAUUGAAACCAUAUUUAAUUUGGUUUAGUUCGGUUUAUAUAUCAUCAGUUUUCGGUUUAUUUACUUUUAUAACAAAAAAUCAUAACCAUAUUUAUCUUUUAUAACAAAAUUUAGAUUAUAUAAUUAGAAAUCAGGUUUAUUAAAACAUAAAUACAUAUUCUUUUCUCUAAAUUUUAAAUAUAAUAUUUUCUGUUUAUUUAACUAUUAAAAUAAAGUAAUAAAAUACUAAUAUCAUAAUAUUAUUAUAUUUUUAUAUUUUAACACAAUAGUUACCAGUAAAAAUUAUGUUUUAUUUAAUUUGAUGAAAAUAAGAAAAACAAAAUAACCUUUUAGCUUAAGACAAAUAAAAAUUUAUUAAAUUCAAUAUUUCAAUUAUGAAUAUUAUAUUGAUGAUAUAAAUUAUGUAUACAUUAUGAAGUUUAUUAUAAAAUUUAUAUAUAAGUAUAAUGAUAUUUUUAAUUAAUCGGUUUCUUUAGUUUAUUCGGUUUUUAGUUUAUAUUUAACCAUAUCUAUAUAUUGCGGUUUCUUAAAACUAACAUUCAGGAUUUAUUUAGUAUUAUUAUAUCCAAAACACUUGUUCUAUUUAUCGGAUUGAAUACCAUUACUAUAUAUAUAUAUAUAUAUAUAUAGCAAGACUUGGGCCAGAUCCAAAUCAGUGGUUUGCUUUAUUGGUUCAAGAGCCCGUGUAACCGAAAUUUCAGUUUCAUUCUUUGGAGUGACAACUAAGGAGGCGACUGGUUUUCCCGCUACCACCCGCAAACGCAGCUUUUGCGGUUGGUAGCGAGUGUCGGCGGUUUGCAACAAUCACUCAAAUCGCUCUAAACCGCUUCAAACCGCUCCGAAUCUCAUCUUAAUUUAAGUAAGGUUAGCCAAAAAUAAGGAAUAAGAUCACUGAAAAAAAUUAAAUUACCGCUUUACAGGAAUUAAACAAAGAGGGACAUCGUAUCAUUUCCCAAAUUGUUCAAAAAUUAGUUGAUUAAUCUAUGUUUUUUCACAAGAGAAGUAUUUUUCCUUCUAUUUUCUUCUGUUUAAGAACUUAGAAAAAUAUAACCCUUUCUCUCUCUUCAAAAAUACUCUGCCUUCUCUCAUCAAUCCUCCAUUGUUGAAGCUUGCUCUCCGACUCCGGUUGCUCUCUCAGAGCCGGAGUCGGGUUUAGUUUCUUUGAAUCAUCCUUUUUGGUUUCAAUCGGUUUAGAUCUUCAUGUCUUGUUCUCGUUUUCCUCUUUGGUUGGAUUUCAGAUCUAGAUCUUAUCUUUACCGGGGGAUGAGAGCUUGCAUGUCGUUCUCUGUGUGUGAUAUUGAUCGAUCUAGUUGAAGUGAGUUGGGUUCUGUUUCCCUUCUUUUUGGUCGCAUUAUGAACCUGUUUUUGGGUUAAAUGAUUUGCAUGUUGGCUUUGAACUCUCUUUGGCUCAUUUUGGGUCUCGAUCUUCGUCCUUCUUGAUCUCUCGAGAAUGGCUGAACCCAUUUAUGAGUUGUCUCGCUCCUUGUCAUUUACCAAAAGAUUUGAUCGAGUUCUUAUCUCUCGUCUUGCUUCAUCUCGACGUCUCGUGACGUUCUAUCUCCGUCAACGCAUUCCCGGUUGUAGACUUAAGAACUGAAAUUGUUCUGUCUCCUGGAUCUUGAAAGCUUGAAGCACUGGUCUCUUAAUCGCAUGGAUUAUUCUCUAUAGGAGGAGUCACAAGCCGGAGGUUUUAGCUUUGGAUAGCAUCCUCGCCUUGUCUCGUUCAAAGGGGUUCAUUUGAAGUCAUCGUGCUUUAUUGUUCACUGUUUUGUAAAGGUUCUUUUGUUUGGUUCCUCACUUCUUCUAUUUUAGAUUGGUUAGUAUUAAGGAUGGUUCAUGUUCUUAUCUUUAAUUCCUAUGUUUGGGCUUAGCUUCUCCGUUGUUGGAGCCUUGGACUCUGGAGGUUUUUUAUAAACCUGCCGGCAAAUGUAACCUAAACUGUACUCCACCCGUGUAAUCUCUGUUGGUUAAUAUAAUUAGUGUUAAAAAAAAAUCUAUGUUUUUUCACUUUAAAGGUGUUUCAGUUUAUUACUUCUGCUCUUCACUGUUUUAAACUAGUGAAGGGAAUAUUGUAAUAUAUUCUCUACUAAUCGUGAGAAAAGCACAUGGAGAGUUAUUUAACGUGCGAAGAUAACAUUAUUAUAAUAACUAGAUCCUCUGUCCGCGCUACGCGCGGAUUAUAAAUUUUAAAUAUAUUAUUCAUAAUUAUUAUUAAUAUGUGAAUAUUUUUACUUUGUAUUAAAUUUAACUUUAAUGUUUGAUAGUAUCUUUAGCAGUUUUCUAUUAUUUUUUUUACGUUUUUGUUUUCUAUAGAUUAAGAAAUUUUAAAAAAUUUGGUAUAUGCACCACUUAGCUUUGGUCUUAUGAUAUGUCUACAUUUUAUGAACACACUGAAGAUGGUAUUGAAAUCAGCUUAUCUUUUAUGUCAUGGAGGAGCGAAUACAAAAUGAAAUUUGAUAUGGAACAUAUAGCCAUUUUCGUGUAAUUAAUAUUUGAUUUAAGUGUAUUUAUAUAUAAAUUUAGCGCUAAUUAUAAUGGAAACAAAAAGAAGCCACACCCUCUUUUGCGGGUGAAUACUAAUUUUUAUUCACUAUUUUCGAUUGGUUUUAAAAUAUGUAGUAGAUGGUAAAUUAAAUUGGAUUUUGUGUGUGUCUUUGUUGUAAUAUUAGUUUGCAAUGUAUUAUUACUUGUAAUCAUUUUACUCUCAUGUGUCAGAUAUUUGUGUAUCCUUUUCGUUUUAAAUGUUUAUCUUUUGGUGAAUAAAGAACAUACACUUAUUUAUAAAGAGGAGAUAUAUAUUUUAACAAAGAAUAUUAUUUUUAUUUGAAUAAUAUAUGUUUCUGGUUGCAAGAAUACUAUAACAUAUUUAUGUAUAUGAGAAAAUGCAUUUUUGAAAUCAAUAAAUGUAACAUUUUAUUUUCUUCUAAAGUUAAUGUCCAUGUACAGUUAUGUAUUGUAUUUAAAUAUGAUAUUUAUAUUUCUGAAGUUCAUAUUCUUCUAAACCACUGGAUACAACUUAUUGUUUGUAGAAUUUUGCUCCUACUAUAAAAGUGUAACUAGAUUUUGACCCGCGCAACCGCGCGGGUGUUUGUUUUUACUUUUUUUAUACAUAAAUUAUUAUUUUUAAACAUUAGUGGUAUAUUUUUUUAACAUUAAUCAUAUACUUAAAUGUUUAUAUAACUAUUUCAAAUAUAAUAAUAUUAUAUUUUACAUGUUAUAAUCAAUCAUUUGAUUAAAACCGUAUGUAUUUUUACUUCUUAUUAUAUAUUUAUCUUAUUGUAUUUGCAUUUAGUUAUUAAGCAAAUUAAUAUAUUCAUGAAAGCAGGUGAAUACUAAUUUUUAUUCACUAUUUUCGAUGGGUUUUAAAAUAUGUAGUAGGUGGUAAAUUAAAUUAGAUUUUGUGUGUGUCUUUGUUGUAAUAUUGGUUUGCAAUGUAUUAUUAUUUGUAAUCAUUUUACCCUCAUUGUCAGAUAUUCGUGUAUCCUUUUCGUUUUAAAUGUUUAUCUUUUGGUGAAUAAAAAACAUACAAUUAUUUAUAAAGAGGAGAUAUAUAUUUUAACAAAGAGUAUUAUUUUUAUUUGAAUAAUAUAUGUUUCUGGUUGCAAGAAUACUAUAACAUAUUUAUGUAUAUGAGAAAAUACAUUUUUGAAAUCAAUAAAUGUAACAUUUUAUUUUCUUCUAAAGUUAAUGUCCAUGUACAGUUAUGUAUUGUAUUUAAAUAUGAUAUUUAUAUUUUUGAAGUUCAUAUUCUUCUAAACCACCGGAUACAACUUAUUGUUUGUAGAAUUUUGCUCCUACUAUAAAAGUGUAGUAGUUUUUUGAUUUCUCAUUUUUAAAUGUGUUGUAAUUGAUAGUUUUUUUAAAUGUAAUGUAAUUGAUAGUAGGAUUUCAUUUUUUUUUAUAUUGUUGGAUUAACGCUUCUAACCAGCCGGUUAAUUGUUUCUUAGCAUAUUAAUUUCUCAUGUAUCACAUAAGAAUAUUUGUCAAGCUCUCUUUUUCGACUGCUUGUUUUAUGUGUUUUAUAGUUCAGCUUUUUGUGGAUACAUGUCGUUGUUUAAUGUUUCACUUGUAUAUUAACGUUACUUUGUUGUUAUAGUAUGUAAUUAUUUUGUGGAAAUGAUUGAUACAACAAUGAUAAUAUGUGAUUAUAUGAUUUUUGUGUUAAUUGUUGGUGUUAACUUUCGGAGUAUAUUUAUUGUAGUUUUAUUAUUUUGUUGCUGUCAUUAAUUGUCGCUUAAAUUCUUUAUUUGAACCAAUUUUAAAUGUUUCUGUUUUUAACUUUUAGUUCAUCUUAGUUUCAAAAAAAAAACUUUUGGUUCAUCUUAUUUAUUUCUUUUUGUGUUUUGGCCAUAAUAUUUAUUUUGUAUGUAUGGUUCCACUUUUUAUUUUUUCAAUUCAUUUGUUAUUUUACGUAAAACUAUAAGCUAUUAACUAAUUUUCUGCGAUUCUUUGUAAAGACAACGUGGUCCAGUGGCAAAAGACGGUUUUAUGACGGAGGAUGUCACGGGUUCAAAACGCUGGUCCUUCCUUUUUGUUUUAGAAUUUUUUUUUUCAUUAAUGGUAAACUUGUAAUUAAAUCGUCUUCUUCCUUUUAGGGCUUUCACUUCUACUGCGAAAUUUUCAUUGCCGCCUCGAACUUUUUUAACAUAAAACAUCGUUUUCUUGCAAUUUUCUUAUCAAUUUUUGCAUAAAAACUGUAGAUUUGCGACGUAACAUCAAAUUCCAAGCGUUUAAAAUUCAAAAUCCUGGACUUUUUUGAUGAAUCUGAUUUUUUGUCCGAUUUUGAUGAAAUUGCGGCGGUUCUGUACCGCCGAGCGUUGCAAGGCCGUGUACUCGGCCGAGUUGCCGCGUUUUUGAACAUAGCCUGCGGUUGAUAAACUAUACUAUUCAUCGGUUGAGUGUUUCCGAGUCGAUGUGAAUUUUGAACUGGAAAAUUGUAUUUAGAACUGAAGCAAAGAUGAUGAAAUCGACUCAAACAGACAAAUCAAUCUAUUAUUAGUGACUUUGUAGGUUGAAUCAAUAUAUAAUUAUGAGUGAUAGAGGAAGGUUUGGGAGAUAAGAAGAUAGUCUUCUCAAAAAACGUUUUUGCAAGAGGAAAAAAAAAUGAGAAGAUCAAUUGAAAUAGGUUCGAAGCUUUUUGAGAAGCUUGAUGAUGUCGUGACCAAACAAUGCUAUCUGAUUGGUUGAAUUUAAUAAAUGACGUGGACAGCUUUAGAGUGAAGUAUAUCGGGCUUUUAGUAUAGUAUAGAUAAUAACUGUAAUAAUUCUCUAGUAAUUAAUUUACUAAUACCAUAUACGAUUUUUUAAUAUAUAAAUAAUUGAAUUUUAUCCACAUGUUCGACGAGGAAAAUAACAUAUAUUGGUAUCCACAGUAUGCCAUACAGCUAUAGAAUUAUUAAACCGACGUGAUUACCACUUUUAUUUCUUGAUAUUAUUCUCUAGUGAUGUACUUAUAAUGCAUAUGUGAUAAUUAUAUAUAGAGUUGCCAGGAAAUGUGUUAUUUGCCACAUCUGUUUGUUAAUGUUUAUUCUCUCAUGUUAUAAAGCUGAUAAUGUCAUAAUGAUAUAGUUAACAGAUUUUUGAUAUAAUUAGCAGUUGUUCUAAAGGGGGCAUAAGUUGAUAAAUACUUCGUACUUAUAUAUUGUUUUGAAUAUAACGAGGCUCGGUCCGCAAAAAUUGUUUCGGCGCCUAUCAAAUUUCAAACCUAGUAACUACCAGUCAAUAGAGGUGAGACACAACCCUUGUAAUACAUUAUACAUGUAUAUUUAUAUAUUGUGGCGCCCUUUAAUAUUUAAUCUAGUUUUGCACAUAAAGCAGUUGUUUCUCCUGUUUUCGACUAGGACCGGCACUGAAUAUAAUGCACACUUUUUUUUGGUAACAUUUAUAGCAUUACCGAAGUUAGCACUCCUUUAUAUUUGGUUUUGUGAAACACAUUUUAUGAGAAAUUAAUUCUUGGAAUUACAUAGGAAUAGUCUAAUGGUAAGCCAACAAUUAAAGCUAAGUGAUCUAGAUUUGAAUCAAUUUCACAACGCUAAACCUAUGUGGUCAUAUAAAUAUUUGAUGUUAUAUUUUAGAUCUUAUUUAAAUACUCAAAAGGAAGGUCAGUCUAUAAGAUGCAUUUCUUGUUAAAAAGUAGUCUAUAUUUUUCUAUAAAUUUAAAAUACCCUCAAAUUAAUAAAAAUAUAAGAAUCACAUUUUCGGUAGUUACGAAAUUUCUUCCUGAUGGGGAUUUCUCCCAUUUAGCACCUAGCAGAUUUUAAUUUCUGAACUAUGGUUUUAAUUUAUUAACUAGAUUUUGAUCCGCGCUUUCAAAACGCGGGAUUAUUUUCGAAACAUUCCAAAUUUAUUUGAUAUAAAUUUGUAUUUUAAUUGUAUCUACACUUAGAUAUUACAAAUGAAAAAUUAUAUUCAAUGUUUUGAAAUCCGACCCGACCCGCAGUUAAAUUGCCAAAUUCGGUGGUUCAUAUGUAAUCCAUUUUAGUUUUCAAAAAAAAAAACUGUUAUUUAAAAAUUUUGUAAAACCCGUAACAACUGUUAAAACCCGAGAUCUGGUUAUCGGUUGAACUGAUAGAUGACCUAAUAUGUAAUCCGGUUUGAUUUAUUAUUAUAUUUAGAGUAUUGUAAUAUAUAUUCAUGAACGUUCAGAUGAAUAGUGAAUAUAUAAUGAAAUUGAUAUUCCAAUUUUAAUACAAUUUUAGUCCAACUAAAAUUCCAUCUUGUUAAUGGAUUAAUAUUUGAGUGGAUACAUACUAAAAAUAAAAUAGAUUUGAGCAUCAAUAAUAUGUAUACGUCUAUUACAAAUUAAUGAUUUAAGUUUGCAAAAAAAAAUAUAAUUGUUUAUUUAGUUAGUUUACUUUUGUUAUUCGCAUAUUAUUAGAUAAUUUUUGAUGUUUUGUCUAUGGCUUAUUUUAAAUUUAAAAGUUAAUUUCAUUAUUCGCAUUAGAAAUGUAAAUAUUUAUUAUUUUAAUUUUGAUAUAUAUUUUUAUUAUAUUUAGUUCUUAAUUUUUAUAAUUUAUAGAUAUAAUAAUGGUCCAACCUAGACUAUUUGUAAGUAGAUAAAAAUUGCUUCUGUUUUAAUAGUAUUGAUUGAGUGGCCAAUAAGGAACAUAAACAAUUUAAAUAGUAUAUAUAUAUAUUUUUUGUAAAUAUAACUAAUUAAUAUUUUUCUGAUUGUGAAUGAUCAUAUUCGUCUUUCUAUUAUGUAGUAUCUAUUUUCACCGGUUAAACUAUUUUAGUUUUAACUUCAGAAAUGAUAAAUUGAUUUUAGUCUGAGUAUUAAGGCUUAACUAGUAGAGGUGAUGACAAAAUAAAAUUAGUAUGCUAUAGAAAAAAUAUACUACAAAAUAAUAUAUGUUUAUAAACAUAAUUAAUAAAGUGAUUAGUAAAUCAGUAGACGACAUAUAUAAAAACUAUCAUAUAAAAUGAUUAUAUAAUAUAUAUUUCUUUAAUUAUAAAUAAUAAAGAUAUAAUUAAAAGAUAUAUAUAUAUAUAUUAUUUUUGUAUUUUAUUGAUAAUAGUGAAUCAUAUUUAAUUAUAUUUUAUAUGUUAAAAUAUUGUUAAAAUAAAAAUAUUAUAACUUUAAAUUUAUUUUAAAAUAGAAAUUUAAUUUUUGAUACAAGUAUAAUUUUGUGAUAUUAUUAAAUAUAAUAAAGUAAUAUUAAUUAUCUUUAAAAUUUUAUAUAAUUUUUUUUGUCAACAAAAUUUAUAUAAUUUAAAUGCAAAUGUUUAACCAAAAUAUUCAAAUGAAAGCACUAACAAUGAACAUUUGGAGAUCAUUUGCAUCUUUUAAAUACUUUUAAUAAUUAUUGAUUAAAAAUUUAUUAAUAUUCUUACAUAAAAGACAAAAUAUCUAUAAUUUAUUUUCUUAUUUAUUCUAAAUUCGCAUUUUUCCAUACAAAAAUAUUAUAAAACCAUAGAUGGAGUAAUUGUGAUUCUUGAUUGGUCGACAAUAAACACAAGAAUGUGUUGUUCAGAUUUUAACCGGACCUCAUCUUUCACCCUAGAUGACUAAAUACAUAUUUACUUACCUAGCAUCAUGAUCUUUCCUGGUAUUGGUGGAUUGUAUAGUAUAUGGUAAUAUUAGCUAGAUUAUACGUCAAAUUUUAAAUGGUGAAUUUGAUUUUAGAUUCCGAUGCUGAUAUGCAAAAUUUUGUAAGGAUACUGAAAAUCCAAGUUUUUAACUUGAAUAUAUUAAAUCAAUUUUUUUAUUGAUUGUAUAAUUAUUUCAAUUUUUCAAUGUUACUUUAGAUUUUCUAGAAUUUCAUUUUUGCUAAGUUCAGUUAUUUAUAACUAUUUUACAUGGCAAGAAUUUGUCAUUCAUAAAAGACUUACAAUUAAUGAUUUCUUACCAACAAUAGCUAUAUUAAAUUAAUUAAAAUAUAAUUUUGAGCAUUUCCUACAAACUUUUUUUCUAUUGUGUUUGUUAUUUUUAUAUGUUUGGUCAAAAGAAAUUUAUCAAUGGUAAGUGAAAGCUGAUCAUUUCAACUGUACAUAUACUAUUUUUAUUAAAUGAAAAGAGAUUUUUUUUUUUGUUUUUUUUUUGCGAAAUCCACCUCAAUAUUUUAUAAAUUUCUGCCGAGUGCUAAUGAUAACAUUUGUGUUGAAAAUUUGUUCUUAAAAUUCAGAAAUCAAUUUUCUAUUAAUCAAAAAGUUCGGAUAUGGCCAAAAAGGAGAAGAAUGAUACGCGUUACAAAAUAAGUAAAGGAUUAUACAAAAAGUGGCAACAAAUUUUCUACAAAGAGGAAACAAGAGAUUACGCCGUGAAAUAUGCUUUAACGUAUAUAAAAAAUCCACAUGCAAACCAACACCACCUCGUCGAAGGCCACGUCUCUUCAUCUGACGGCUGCAGUUACAUCAUCAUUGAAAAAGCAGUCAAAACUAUAUAAAAAGAAAAUAAUCUUUUAAAAAAAUAGUCACACAAAUUCAUCCAUAAAUCACCAUUGUUAACCUUUUUUUCUCCUUCCUUUCAUCUUUCUAAAAAAUUCAUUUUUACAACCAAAAACUAAAGUUCAAGAAAACACAGAAUAAAGGAAUAAUCUCUUCGUGUGUGCGUGUAUAUAAAAAGAUAUACAUAUGCGUGGGUAUGAUUCUUGGGAUGAUCGACAUGCAACGAUGAAAUCAUCAUCCAUUUUCCGAGAAAGUUCAGACAAAACAGAGAGAUGGAUUGUAACAAACAUGGCAAGAUUAUCACCAUUUCUCUUGUCUUCUCUUUGUAUAACUAUCUUCUUCACAGGCUUCUUCGUCUUCCAUCAGAAUCCUUUCAUCUCGGAUCAAAACUUUCUCACCCUGCACCCUCUAAUCGGUAAGGUAUAACCAAUGAUAAUAUAAAACAUUUUCAAACAAAAAUCUUGUAUAUAGUAUAUAUAUACGUACAUAUAUGGUUUUAUGUUGAUUAAUAUGAUGAUUGUGGAUUAUUUGUACCCUUACAAACGUGUAUGAUUUUAUGUUGAACUAGUUCAUGUGUUUUGCUUUUGUCUGAAACCUCUCAGCUUUGUAAUGAUUCACUUUUUGUUUGUUCUUUUGAUAUUGUCUCAGAAUUUUGUAGAUUUGUUUUUUUUUUAAAUUUAAAUUUUUAUUGAUUUGUUUUAUCUUUUGUUGUUGUUGUGGUUUGGUUAGAUCCUAAAUGUGAUUUGUUCAAGGGACAUUGGGUUCCAGACAAAAGAGGAUCUCUGUACACAAACUCAAGCUGUUCUACGCUUCCUGACUCCAAGAACUGCAUAAAACAUGGGAGAUUAGACAGAGAUUUCUUGUUUUGGAGAUGGAAACCUGAUGGCUGCGACCUUCCUAGGUUUAGUCCCAAGGAGUUUCUUAGAAUGGUUCGAGGCAAGAAGAUGAGUUUUAUUGGUGAUUCUGUAGCAAGGAACCACAUGGAAUCUCUUCUUUGCUUGUUGUCAAUGGUGAACUUUAAAUCUUUUUCUAAGGAGAUGUAUCUUGCUUUGCUUACAAGAAAGUUGAAUAAUAGUGUUUGCUUGUGCAGGAAGAAACUCCUAAGGAUAUCUACAAAGAUGGAGAAGACAGAAACAGGAUAUGGUACUUUCCUAACCAUGAUUUCACACUCUCUACCUCUUGGACUAAGUUUCUCGUGGAGGAACAUGAGAGGGUAGACGGUAACAAGACCGGAACUGGAUUGUUUGAUAUAGAUAUUAGCAAGAUGGAUGAAGGAUGGUUCAAGGGUCUGCCAAAUACAGACAUUGCUAUUGUCUCGGCUGCUCACUGGUUCUUCAGACCAAUAUUCAUACACAGAGGAGAUGAAACCCUAGGUUGCAUCUAUUGUAACGUACCAAACAUGACACAGCUUAGUCCUGACCAAGGGUUUAAGCUUGUUUACUCAUCUGUCUUUAAACACAUCAAUGAAUGUGAUAACUGCAAGAGAGAUUUAGUUACAGUCAUGAGGACUAUCUCACCUGCCCAUUUCGAGAACGGGACUUGGGAUACAGGAGGAUCAUGCAGAAGGACAAGCCCUUUUGGUGUUAACCAGAUCGAUCUGCAGAGCAACGAGAUGAAGAUCAGGACAUCUCAGAUUGAACAGCUUGAAGUUAUAACGAAAGGCGACCACAAGGGGAAGAAGAAGUUUGGUGUUUUGGAUGUGACUAGGGUUAUGCUGAUGAGACCUGACGGCCAUCCGAAUAGUCACUGGGGAAACAAAUGGAUGAAAGGUUACAAUGAUUGCGUCCACUGGUGCUUGCCUGGGCCUAUUGAUGCGUGGAACGAUUUUUUAAUGGCGAUACUUAGACAGUUAAGAUGAUUAUUCAUGGAUAAACAAACAAACAAAAAGUUAAAACAUUCUUUCACAUUUCUUAUGAAUAAGUACCUUCAGUCAUCUGAUUUUUUUUGCUUCUGCUUCUAGAUAUCUCUGUUGUUACAUAGAGUUUACACAAUACUCAAUACCAGUAUUCUAAAGAUCUGCGUAGUCGGCAAAUCGGAUCUAAACAAUUUUUGUAAACAGGUUUUUUUUAAAAAAAUUGGUCUAGUGUUUAAACAAUAAUCUUCUAUAAGGCAUCCAACCGCCACCACCUAGGAAUUUAUUGAACAUUGCCUCAAUACAACACACAUCACUUUCAUUUACCUCAUAUAUACAUACUUGCCCCAGACCUUCUGCAUAGAGUAAUGAUUCACGCUGAUAAGCAGUUGAAUCCUGCAAGACAUGAGCAGCGAAACAGCUUCGAGCAAACCAUAUUGGUGCAACAAACACAAAAGCAUAAUCUCUCAGAUUAAUAAAUAAUAACGAGCUUUAACUCCAAUCUGCAGAGAACAUUUCAAGCACAUGGGAGAAGCUCUGCAGAACAAGAAAGAUCAAAUCUUUUACAGAAAACAACUCGAAACAGACACAAAACAGCUAAGUUCUUAAGCAAAGUACAUAGCUUUCUGCACUGUUCCAUCAAAUUACAUAAAACCCAAUAAGCUAAAAAGAAAAAGACACAAAGUGAUAAUAAUAAUCAAGACUACUCCAAGUUGUUACCAAGAGCGAAAGAGAAGACUUCACGAACAGGAGAGAACUCAACGACCCCAACAUCCAUCGCGUAGCCACUCACGGGCAUCUUCAAGUCCCUCAAAACGGAGAAAGCCUCAGCCAUGCGAGCCCUCGGCACAUCGACCGCCACGGGGCAGAACGGGACCCACGAGUCCUGGCGAAACUCCUCGCCGAUGUCGAAGCCUUCCUUCUUGACGGCGUCGAGAAGCUGAGCGUGGAGGUGGAGGAGGGAGAGGGAGGGGGUGGGGGAGAGGAAGAGGGCGUUGUUGUCGCCGGAGAAGCUACCGAGGGAGGAGAAGGAGAGAGGGAGGGGCUCCUGCUUGGAGGCGAAGGCUUUGAGGAUGGGCUCGAGCUUGGAGGAGUCGAGGAAGGAGGAGGAGAGGAGGGUGAGGUGGGGGCGGGACUCGGUGGUGAUGAGCUUGGUGCUGAUCUGGCGGCGGGCGAAGACGUUCCAGGCUUUCAGGACUUGGUUCUCCAGCGCUGGGUCGAAGUAGAGCUCGAUCGCGUACCCUUCUGACAUUAGAUCUGGGAGAGAGAGAGCGAUUGAGAUUUGGGAGUGGUGGAGAAAGGUGGAAGCUUGACAGCGAGAAGACAAAGGGGAAAGGGGAAAGCUUCUUUUAAUUGGUCUGUGGAUCGAAUGAGGAAGAAGAUUGUUUUCUCAUAGGUGAAGGUGAUGAGUACGUGAAUUACUCAGAAAUUAGUUAGAGAUCUAAUGUGAAACAAAAUAAAAGUAGGAGGAGCAAAAAGCAAUAUCUGAAUAGUACGCCAAUUAUUUAGAAAUUAAGUAGAGAUUUAAUGUAAAAUGAAUUAAGAAAAAAUACCCAACAUAACAUAUACUAAUUUUUAGCAAACAAAAUAAAUAAUAAUUUAAAUAAAUAAAUGAAAAGAAAAGAAAUUUAACUAGCAAUAAUCUAUGAUCUUUUCAAUUGUUGACCGGAACCUGUAGUAAUGAUGAGUUAAUUAUAUGUUUUCUUGUAGUGAUGAGACUAUCAUGUUGAUUCUGAUCAUAUUUGUUCUUGUGAUUCUGAUCAUAUUUGUUCUUGUGAUUCUGAUCAUAUUUGUUCUUGUGAUAGUAACCAAGAACAAAUGAUGGGUUAUGUAUAGGUCUCUCUUUGUUCUUGUUCUCUGUGUUCGAUGCCUUUUUUUUUUUUUGAACACUACUUUCAUUAACUUCAAACGAAAAGAGUUAGGUAGGGGCAAUAACACCCUCAACCAUACAAAGUGCUUCCUUUGAUAAGGAAUCAGCAACAAGAUUUUUAUCUCUAGGGAUCCAAGAAAACAAGAUCGAAAUGUCGGGGAGUCCGCUCAGGUGGAGAAUGUCCGAGAGAAUCCCAUGCACCUCCGCGAUGCAUUCCUUUUGGUUUAUUGCUUUUAUCAGCUGUGCUGAAUCAGACUCUAGGAGAAUGUCGUUCAAACUAUGCUCUCUGCAGAACAACAGAGCUUCCCGAAUGGGUAGUCCUUCUGCAACGAGGGGUGAAGAUACGUGCCCGUGGGGUUUCUUCCUUCUAAUUUCAAACCUCUCUGUCUUCACUGUCCAGCCGAGCCCGGCUUUCUUAUCUUCCUUCCUCCAGGCUGCAUCAGAGCGAACGAAGGUAGCAGCGGUGCACGCUUCAGUCGCCGAUGGCGUUGCCUGAGUAGGAGUGACCUUCUCUACUUUUUGUCCUUGUUCCCAUUCCUUUGCCGCUCGAAUAGCGGUAGCUAGUGUGUCCUCUGGUGAUGCAGAAGCACCGUUGAAGACGAAUCUGUUCUGUUUUUUCCACAAGGUCCAGAGGAUCCAUGGAACUAGUUGACUCGUAAUUAGCCCUGUGGGGGGCAGUGCUGGAGUUGAGCAGAGGGACGUCCAUCGUGUGUCUAAAUCUACGAUUCCUCUAUGAUCAAAACCCAAAGCCAAGGGGGCAUCACGCCAGACCUGUUGAGCAAAAGGGCAGUGGAAUAGUAGAUGAAUGAUAGAUUCAGAUUCUCCGCAGCGCUUACACCGAGGAUCGACAUCAAUGUGGCGCUCGACUAAGCGUGCUCCUACUGGUACUGCUCUCUUCAGGACUUUCCAAGCGAACAUCUUUACCUUCGGAGCAACUUUCAGGUUUCAAACAUUCUUGUACCAGGGGCAGUUCACACUCGGUCUUGUGUCCUCUUCUCCCUCCUCCUGAGCUAGCAAAAUAGUAGCCCGAUUUGGUAGAGUAAGCUCCUGAUUUGGUUCCUAGCCAGACCUGUUUGUCUUGGGCAUUUUUGAUGCUUGGUUUGAUGGUCAGGAUGUCCUUCUCGUAUUGUGGUAGAAACAACCGAAUUUUCUCUACGUCCCAUUCUCCUUGACGGUUUGUUCGCAGAUCAGCCACAGUAAGGUUCACAAAAGCUUCUGAGGCUGGCCCGUAAGGUCGCUUCUGUUUCGAGUGAUCAAGCCAAGGGUCAUACCAAACGUUGAUGCUCUGACCAUUUCCCACAACCCAACCCAAGUUCUGAACCAAUAGAUCCCUACCAACUAGUACACUUCUCCACCCGUGUGAGAUAGCUGUAACAGCUUCUACGCUCAGGAUAUCAGUCUCUGGGAAGUAUUUCCCUUUUAGCAUUCUACUUAGCAGAGAAUCAGGGUUUUCAAAUAUCCUCCAACUGAGUUUUGCAAGUGCUGCUUCGUUGUAUCGUUGAAAAUCCCUGAAUCCUAAUCCGCCCAAAGCUUUUGGUUUUGUCAAUUCCGUCCAAGCUAUCCAUGCCAUCUUUUUCUUGCCCGAGCUGUCGUCCCACCAGAACCUUGUGAUGGCCGAUUGGAUCUCCUUGCAUAGUGAGACUGGGAGUUGAAAACCUGUCAUGGCGUGAGAGGGGAUAGGAGACAGCACACUCUGUAACAGGACCAUUUUCCCUGCCGCAGACAAGUAUCUCGUGGUCCAGGAGCCUACUUUCUGUUUGAUUCUGUCGACGAUGGACGAGAAAAGGUCUCGUUUCUUCCUGCCAAAGUGUUCCGGGAGGCCUAAGUAUUUGCCUACUCCGCCCUCUUUUUGGAUGUUCAUCACGUUCUUCACUAUCGCUUUUAGGGGCUGAGGAGUUCUCUUAGAAAAUGUGAUCGAGGACUUAUCCACAUUGAUUGCCUGGCCGGAUGCAUCCCCGUAGCGCUGGAUGAUUUUCAAGAGUGUUGCUGCUGCUUCUCGUGACGCUUGUACGAAGAACAUAGUGUCAUCCGCGAAUAGUAGGUGGUUGACCCGGGGGCAUCCCCUUGCUACUAAUGCCUUUUAGGCUUCCAUCUUCUUGUGCUCGGUUACAAAGGCCCGAGAGGACUUCACUGCACAAAAUAAAUAAGUACGGUGAUAGAGGGUCUCCUUGACGGAUUCCUCUACUCGGUGAAACCAAACCUCUAGCCGAGCCGUUAAUGAGGAAGGAGUAUGUAACCGUUGAGAUCCAUUGUGCGACCAGAUUAAUCCAUCUAGGGUGGAAGCCAAGCUGUCGCAGCACAAGGGAAAUGAAAUCCCAUUCGAGCCUAUCAUAGGCUUUGCUCAUGUCGGUCUUAACCGCCAUCGAACAUCGUUUUUCCGCUUUUGAUGUCUUAAGGAAGUGGAGAACCUCAUGUGCUAUCAACACAUUAUCGGAGAUAGCCCUUCCCGGCACGAAGGCCGAUUGGUUCUCAGAGAUAAUGGAUGAUAGUAUGGGUUGUAGCCGUCGGGUGAGGAUUUUAUAGAAGAUCUUGUAGUAGACGUUACACAAGGCUAUGGGCCUGUAGUCCGCUACCCGCUGCGGAUUUUUUAUCUUAGGAAUGAGUCGAACAUGAGUGGUAUUGAUGCUGGCGGGUAGCUUGUCUAACUCAAACAUGUGUUGGACCUCUUUGACAAUGUCCGACCCAAUCUCCUGCCAGUGUGUCUGAUAAAAGGUUGCCGAGAAUCCAUCCGGGCCAGGUGCCUUAUCUGCAUGUAUGGAGAAAAGCGCUUCCCGGACUUCCUGCGCCGUAGGCACCGCAAUCAGAGCUGCGUUUUCCUCCUCCGUGACCAACGGCUGAAGCGCUUGUCUUAUUGUUUCCUCCUUAUUACUGGUUGUAGCUGUGGACGUAUACAUCUCCUGAUAAUACUUCACUAUCACCUUUACAAUUUCCUCUUCUUUAUAGCACUCUUUGCCGUCAGAGUCUUCCAAGACUGAGAAACUGUUAGCCCUUUUACGUUCUUUUGUAGUGGCAUGGAAAAAACCCGUAUUACGGUCCCCAAGUCAUAACCAGAGCAAUCUGCUCUGUUGCUUCCAGUACGAUUCUUCCGCCAGAUACGCUUCAUUCAGCGCUAUUGUUAUGUCACGGAUUAGUUCUGUGUCGUUCCGCGGGGAUGUAAGAGCUAGUUCCAGUUCUUUUUGUUUCUGCUCGAUGAUGAGCCUACUGUUUCACUGUUGUGUUUUGUUCCACUCUGUCAAUGCAGUUCGGGUGCUUGCUAUUUUUUCUCUAACGGAACAGUUCCCCGAAUUUUUCCAUGCCUUAAGGAUAACCUGCUUAGCUUCAUCAUUCUCGUUCAAUCUUCUAUCGUAACGGAAGAUUCCUUUGCGUCGCUUUGAGUCAGGUUCAAAGAAGGACAGAAGUGGUUUAUGGUCUGACCCUUCAUAAUCUAGGUAUUGGCAACGUGUUGUCGGGUAAUUCUCUGCCCAGUGACUAUUAGCCACCGCUCUGUCCAGCCAGCACCGGACAAGGUGGUCGCCUCUUUUACCUCUCCAUGAUAAUGGAUCUCCUGAAUGUCUAAGGUCAUAGAGGUCGCCUUCAGAAAAGAAAUUUCUGAGGUCUCCAAAGGAUUUUUCAGUUCUCGCUGGCCCCCCCACCUUUCUUCUUCGCUGAGCAGAUCGUUAAAAUCCCCUGUCACAAACCAGGGGGAGUCUCGGUGCGAGGCUAGCUGUAGCAUGUGUUCCCAUUGUAACAACCUUUGUUUCCUAUCACAAUCACCAUGUAUGAACGAAGCAAAGAAGGAUUUUCCUUGAUAUUCAAUAAAAGUAUCGAUCAAAUUUGCAUUUGAGUACAUGAUAUCAAUUUUGAUAUUUGAAUUCCAGAGUAGAGCAAGUCCUCCAGCACCAUAGCCUUUGGGCGGGAAUAGAUAGGUCGAUUCGUAGCCGAGCUGCUCCAGCUUCUUUUUUACAAAGUCAUCGGGAUUUUUGGUCUCCAUUAGAAAGAUGAUAUCCGGAUCAACCUGUCGUUUGAUCUCCCGGAGACGUCGAACUGUCGCGGGAUUCCCUAACCCUUGACAGUUCCAACUCCCUAUUGCUAAGGAGGCGGAUCUGCCGGGGUACGAAAACCCGACUUCUUCCACGACACUGGUGGGAUCAUGUUCCUUAGUGGCUGAUUGUCCGAGUUGGCGCUAUUUGUAUGCUCAGAGGAGUUCCGCGAUGCAUCCGAUCUUGCCUUGGAGAGCUUUUUGUCUCUAUUACUUUUGGAGGCAUCAGUAGCUAAUUUUCGUCUACUCAGUGGAGGCCUUGUGCUCGGAAUCCUUCUUUUUUUGGUGCUUGACCCCGGCAGCUGCUUAGGACUUGAGUUAAUUGUUUUCCUCCCCGGUGGUCUUCCCGGCUUUCUUUUAGCUUCAGGNNNNNNNNNNNNNNNNNNNNNNNNNNNNNNNNNNNNNNNNNNNNNNNNNNNNNNNNNNNNNNNNNNNNNNNNNNNNNNNNNNNNNNNNNNNNNNNNNNNNNNNNNNNNNNNNNNNNNNNNNNNNNNNNNNNNNNNNNNNNNNNNNNNNNNNNNNNNNNNNNNNNNNNNNNNNNNNNNNNNNNNNNNNNNNNNNNNNNNNNNNNNNNNNNNNNNNNNNNNNNNNNNNNNNNNNNNNNNNNNNNNNNNNNNNNNNNNNNNNNNNNNNNNNNNNNNNNNNNNNNNNNNNNNNNNNNNNNNNNNNNNNNNNNNNNNNNNNNNNNNNNNNNNNNNNNNNNNNNNNNNNNNNNNNNNNNNNNNNNNNNNNNNNNNNNNNNNNNNNNNNNNNNNNNNNNNNNNNNNNNNNNNNNNNNNNNNNNNNNNNNNNNNNNNNNNNNNNNNNNNNNNNNNNNNNNNNNNNNNNNNNNNNNNNNNNNNNNNNNNNNNNNNNNNNNNNNNNNNNNNNNNNNNNNNNNNNNNNNNNNNNNNNNNNNNNNNNNNNNNNNNNNNNNNNNNNNNNNNNNNNNNNNNNNNNNNNNNNNNNNNNNNNNNNNNNNNNNNNNNNNNNNNNNNNNNNNNNNNNNNNNNNNNNNNNNNNNNNNNNNNNNNNNNNNNNNNNNNNNNNNNNNNNNNNNNNNNNNNNNNNNNNNNNNNNNNNNNNNNNNNNNNNNNNNNNNNNNNNNNNNNNNNNNNNNNNNNNNNNNNNNNNNNNNNNNNNNNNNNNNNNNNNNNNNNNNNNNNNNNNNNNNNNNNNNNNNNNNNNNNNNNNNNNNNNNNNNNNNNNNNNNNNNNNNNNNNNNNNNNNNNNNNNNNNNNNNNNNNNNNNNNNNNNNNNNNNNNNNNNNNNNNNNNNNNNNNNNNNNNNNNNNNNNNNNNNNNNNNNNNNNNNNNNNNNNNNNNNNNNNNNNNNNNNNNNNNNNNNNNNNNNNNNNNNNNNNNNNNNNNNNNNNNNNNNNNNNNNNNNNNNNNNNNNNNNNNNNNNNNNNNNNNNNNNNNNNNNNNNNNNNNNNNNNNNNNNNNNNNNNNNNNNNNNNNNNNNNNNNNNNNNNNNNNNNNNNNNNNNNNNNNNNNNNNNNNNNNNNNNNNNNNNNNNNNNNNNNNNNNNNNNNNNNNNNNNNNNNNNNNNNNNNNNNNNNNNNNNNNNNNNNNNNNNNNNNNNNNNNNNNNNNNNNNNNNNNNNNNNNNNNNNNNNNNNNNNNNNNNNNNNNNNNNNNNNNNNNNNNNNNNNNNNNNNNNNNNNNNNNNNNNNNNNNNNNNNNNNNNNNNNNNNNNNNNNNNNNNNNNNNNNNNNNNNNNNNNNNNNNNNNNNNNNNNNNNNNNNNNNNNNNNNNNNNNNNNNNNNNNNNNNNNNNNNNNNNNNNNNNNNNAAAAAAAAAAAAGACGCGGUAUUUGGUUCAUUUGUCCUAUAUGUGCAAAUCAAAAUCGGGCAAAUUUUUCCUUUUACUCGGAGUAGAGCAUAAACCUAAAAAAACGGAAUAAAAAAAGGAAGAAGCCCAUUCAGGAACAAGAAAAAACCAUCCCCAUUUCAACUGAAUCUCGAUGAAAAAAAAAUAUCAAUGAAUCAAGUUAGUCUGACAGGCCUAAUCAAUCGUUUUAUUAUUUUAUUAUUAGGAUUAUAAUAUCUAAUAAAUAAAAGGGGCCAAAACUUAUUUAUUUUUUCUUUUACUUUUAAAAGGGAAGCAAGCCCUUCCCUUAUUAAGUUAGAAAGAAAAGCCUUCUCUGAAAAAAAAGGGGGGGUUGGAAUCGACACAUUGAUUUUUUAACAAUUUUUGUUGAACCGUAUGCAUCAAAAGGUGCCUGUACGGCUCCUAAGGAAUAAAAUUUUAUCCUAAUCAACCGACUUUAUCGAGAAAGAUUGUUUUUUUUAGGCCAAGAGGUUGAUACCGAAAUCUCGAAUCAACUUAUUAGUCUUAUGAUAUAUCUCAGUAUAGAAAAGGAUACCAAAGAUCUUUAUUUGUUUAUAAACUCUCCUGGUGGAUGGGUAAUAUCUGGAAUGGCUAUUUAUGAUACUAUGCAAUUUGUGCGACCCGAUGUACAGACAAUAUGCAUGGGAUUGGCCGCUUCAAUAGCAUCCUUUAUCCUAGUCGGAGGAGAAAUUACCAAACGUAUAGCAUUCCCUCACGCUUGGCGCCAAUGAGUUUUUUUAUUUUAGAGAAAAAAUACUAUGCCUUCGCCCUCGGAAAUAUGAAUUAGUUAAGUAAUAAUAGCAUGGCACUUCGAAUUCGAUAUGAAAUUUUUUAGAUUAAAAAAAUUAGAUUAUAUAUUGAAAGAGUAGUAUGGGAUAAGAAAGGGGUAUUUAAAAUGAUAUCUUCCCUAUUCGGGCACAUCCCAGCGUCACAAACUUUGUUUUCACACCGGAAGCUUAUUUACAAAAACAAAAAAAAAGACACUUUGGGAUUGCUGAAUCAUAGACGGAUCAAAAAAAAUGAUAUAUAAAGCAACGGAACCAUCAUAGUAUUUUUUUAACUCCUACAAAACAAAAAAGAAGGAUGGUAAUUGGAUCAUUUAUGGAUCCGCGUAUAAUAGAACCUAUAUUUUGUUUUCUUUCGCCGAAAGGAAAGGUCAAAAACGUAAAUUCCAUUCUAGAGCCGUAUGCAACGCACAAAAAAAGCCUGUACGGUUAUUCAAAUUUCUCUGUUUUUUUGGUUAUCUCGCCUCAUUCUGCGAAAUAGAAAAAGCUUUUCUAUUAUAUCAUCAGGGUAAUGAUCCAUCAACCCGCUAGUUCGUUUUAUGAGGCACAAACGGGAGAAGUUAUCUUGGAAGCGGAAGAACUACUAAAACUUCGCGAAACCAUCACAAGGGUUUAUGUACAAAGAACGGGCAAACCUAUAUGGGUUGUAUCCGAAGACAUGGAAAGGGAUGUUUUUAUGUCAGCAACAGAAGCCCAAGCUCAUGGCAUUGUUGAUCUUGUAGCGGUUCAAUAAAAAUAGGAGCGAUUUCAUGCAAAUCUACCACUGCUAAUUUUAUAUCUUUUUAGAUUAAAGGUUUAGUUUCAUAUUCUCUUCAAUAUAUUUUUUUUAUAUUGAAGAGAAUCUUGAAGAGAAGUAAUUCAGAAUUAGCCGGUUAGAACCCAUCUAAACCAGCCCAUUAUUUAUAUGAUUCCGUAUGCCAACCAUUAAACAACUUAUUAGAAAUACAAGACAGCCAAUCCGAAAUGUCACAAAAUCCCCAGCGCUUCGGGGAUGCCCUCAGCGACGAGGAACAUGUACUCGGGUGUAUGUGCGACUCGUUUAGAUCAUAGACUGAAACACAAAAAGGAAAUUCUUUUUGAAAUAUCAAGGAUCAGUACCUGUUAAUAAAAUAGAAUGGAGGAACUCGAUUCAUUAUUUCAAAAAGAUAGAUCAUUCAUAUCUUCUAUUGUGUCUGAAACUUAUGGUUUACAUUGGUGCAAAUCCAAUCAACUCCAUUUUUUAGAAAACCCCCAAUGAUAACAAAUGGUUAUCAAUUAAGCGGGGGAAAUCCCAUUUUUUAUUAAAAAGAUUCCACUCUUGAAAGAAAAAACGGACUAACAGGGUAAAUGACCAAAUCAAUUUUAAAAUAAAAUACCGUUACUGUAUAAAGUGGAUCUCAUUGUGAAAGAUCUAUUACUGGAAUAUUAAUGGGGUAGAGCCAAAGAAUGUGAAUUGUACAAGUUACCAAUAGUAUUGAUUAAUUAAAAGAAGGAGCUCCGGUGUAUAGAGAGGACCUCACCGUUUUAGAAGUAACCAUAGAAACGAAGGAACCCACUAUUUAUCCAUUUCUAUUUACUACUUUUUGUAGUUAUUCUAUUUUUUUUAUAUCAAGUACCAAGGCAAUUUAUCCUUUCAAAGCAAAGGAAAAUACCUAGCCAAAAAUAGUGGUGGGGAAGGUUAGAGUAGCAAAAGCCAUUGGAAUUUUUUUUUAUACAUUGGAAUAAUUCGUUUGGUUAUUAAUGACUAGUAAAGGGGAAAAGAAUAACUAAAACUAAAAAAAGAAUUAGUUAUUCAUCAAAGUUUGAUUUAUUCAAUGACUAGAAUUAAACGCGGAUAUAUAGCUCGGAGGCGUAGAACAAAACUUCGUUUAUUUGCAUCAAGCUUUCAAGGGGCUCAUUCACGACUUACACGAACUAUGACUCAACAGAGAAUAAGAGCUUUAGUUUCGGCUCGUCGGGAUAGGGGUAAAAGAAAAAGAGAUUUUCGUCGUUUAUGGAUCACUCGAAUAAAUGCCGUAAUUCACGAAACGGAGGUAUUCUAUAGUUAUAACCGAUUCAUACACAAUCUGUACAAGAAGCAAUUACUUCUUAAUCGAAAAAUACUUGCACAAAUAGCUCUAUUAAAUAGGAGUUGUCUUUAUACGAUUUCAAAUGAGAUCAAAAAAUGAGGGGAUUGGAAGAAAUCCACUAAAAUAUUUGAAAUAGAGUUCUUAAGUAGAAUAAGCUCGGGGAGGGUAGAGUAGAAAUUAGUAUUAUAAAAAAAGUCGUCAAAACAAAACGAGGGUAUAUAUAGUCGCUAAAAAAAGACUUAUUCUUUUUCUUUUCGACGAUUCUUUUCUUUUUUUUUUUUUUUUUUUUGCGAAAUCCACCUCAAUAUUUUAUAAAUUUCUGCCGAGUGCUAAUGAUAACAUUUGUGUUGAAAAUUUGUUCUUAAAAUUCAGAAAUCAAUUUUCUAUUAAUCAAAAAGUUCGGAUAUGGCCAAAAAGGAGAAGAAUGAUACGCGUUACAAAAUAAGUAAAGGAUUAUACAAAAAGUGGCAACAAAUUUUCUACAAAGAGGAAACAAGAGAUUACGCCGUGAAAUAUGCUUUAACGUAUAUAAAAAAUCCACAUGCAAACCAACACCACCUCGUCGAAGGCCACGUCUCUUCAUCUGACGGCUGCAGUUACAUCAUCAUUGAAAAAGCAGUCAAAACUAUAUAAAAAGAAAAUAAUCUUUUAAAAAAAUAGUCACACAAAUUCAUCCAUAAAUCACCAUUGUUAACCUUUUUUUCUCCUUCCUUUCAUCUUUCUAAAAAAUUCAUUUUUACAACCAAAAACUAAAGUUCAAGAAAACACAGAAUAAAGGAAUAAUCUCUUCGUGUGUGCGUGUAUAUAAAAAGAUAUACAUAUGCGUGGGUAUGAUUCUUGGGAUGAUCGACAUGCAACGAUGAAAUCAUCAUCCAUUUUCCGAGAAAGUUCAGACAAAACAGAGAGAUGGAUUGUAACAAACAUGGCAAGAUUAUCACCAUUUCUCUUGUCUUCUCUUUGUAUAACUAUCUUCUUCACAGGCUUCUUCGUCUUCCAUCAGAAUCCUUUCAUCUCGGAUCAAAACUUUCUCACCCUGCACCCUCUAAUCGGUAAGGUAUAACCAAUGAUAAUAUAAAACAUUUUCAAACAAAAAUCUUGUAUAUAGUAUAUAUAUACGUACAUAUAUGGUUUUAUGUUGAUUAAUAUGAUGAUUGUGGAUUAUUUGUACCCUUACAAACGUGUAUGAUUUUAUGUUGAACUAGUUCAUGUGUUUUGCUUUUGUCUGAAACCUCUCAGCUUUGUAAUGAUUCACUUUUUGUUUGUUCUUUUGAUAUUGUCUCAGAAUUUUGUAGAUUUGUUUUUUUUUUAAAUUUAAAUUUUUAUUGAUUUGUUUUAUCUUUUGUUGUUGUUGUGGUUUGGUUAGAUCCUAAAUGUGAUUUGUUCAAGGGACAUUGGGUUCCAGACAAAAGAGGAUCUCUGUACACAAACUCAAGCUGUUCUACGCUUCCUGACUCCAAGAACUGCAUAAAACAUGGGAGAUUAGACAGAGAUUUCUUGUUUUGGAGAUGGAAACCUGAUGGCUGCGACCUUCCUAGGUUUAGUCCCAAGGAGUUUCUUAGAAUGGUUCGAGGCAAGAAGAUGAGUUUUAUUGGUGAUUCUGUAGCAAGGAACCACAUGGAAUCUCUUCUUUGCUUGUUGUCAAUGGUGAACUUUAAAUCUUUUUCUAAGGAGAUGUAUCUUGCUUUGCUUACAAGAAAGUUGAAUAAUAGUGUUUGCUUGUGCAGGAAGAAACUCCUAAGGAUAUCUACAAAGAUGGAGAAGACAGAAACAGGAUAUGGUACUUUCCUAACCAUGAUUUCACACUCUCUACCUCUUGGACUAAGUUUCUCGUGGAGGAACAUGAGAGGGUAGACGGUAACAAGACCGGAACUGGAUUGUUUGAUAUAGAUAUUAGCAAGAUGGAUGAAGGAUGGUUCAAGGGUCUGCCAAAUACAGACAUUGCUAUUGUCUCGGCUGCUCACUGGUUCUUCAGACCAAUAUUCAUACACAGAGGAGAUGAAACCCUAGGUUGCAUCUAUUGUAACGUACCAAACAUGACACAGCUUAGUCCUGACCAAGGGUUUAAGCUUGUUUACUCAUCUGUCUUUAAACACAUCAAUGAAUGUGAUAACUGCAAGAGAGAUUUAGUUACAGUCAUGAGGACUAUCUCACCUGCCCAUUUCGAGAACGGGACUUGGGAUACAGGAGGAUCAUGCAGAAGGACAAGCCCUUUUGGUGUUAACCAGAUCGAUCUGCAGAGCAACGAGAUGAAGAUCAGGACAUCUCAGAUUGAACAGCUUGAAGUUAUAACGAAAGGCGACCACAAGGGGAAGAAGAAGUUUGGUGUUUUGGAUGUGACUAGGGUUAUGCUGAUGAGACCUGACGGCCAUCCGAAUAGUCACUGGGGAAACAAAUGGAUGAAAGGUUACAAUGAUUGCGUCCACUGGUGCUUGCCUGGGCCUAUUGAUGCGUGGAACGAUUUUUUAAUGGCGAUACUUAGACAGUUAAGAUGAUUAUUCAUGGAUAAACAAACAAACAAAAAGUUAAAACAUUCUUUCACAUUUCUUAUGAAUAAGUACCUUCAGUCAUCUGAUUUUUUUUGCUUCUGCUUCUAGAUAUCUCUGUUGUUACAUAGAGUUUACACAAUACUCAAUACCAGUAUUCUAAAGAUCUGCGUAGUCGGCAAAUCGGAUCUAAACAAUUUUUGUAAACAGGUUUUUUUUAAAAAAAUUGGUCUAGUGUUUAAACAAUAAUCUUCUAUAAGGCAUCCAACCGCCACCACCUAGGAAUUUAUUGAACAUUGCCUCAAUACAACACACAUCACUUUCAUUUACCUCAUAUAUACAUACUUGCCCCAGACCUUCUGCAUAGAGUAAUGAUUCACGCUGAUAAGCAGUUGAAUCCUGCAAGACAUGAGCAGCGAAACAGCUUCGAGCAAACCAUAUUGGUGCAACAAACACAAAAGCAUAAUCUCUCAGAUUAAUAAAUAAUAACGAGCUUUAACUCCAAUCUGCAGAGAACAUUUCAAGCACAUGGGAGAAGCUCUGCAGAACAAGAAAGAUCAAAUCUUUUACAGAAAACAACUCGAAACAGACACAAAACAGCUAAGUUCUUAAGCAAAGUACAUAGCUUUCUGCACUGUUCCAUCAAAUUACAUAAAACCCAAUAAGCUAAAAAGAAAAAGACACAAAGUGAUAAUAAUAAUCAAGACUACUCCAAGUUGUUACCAAGAGCGAAAGAGAAGACUUCACGAACAGGAGAGAACUCAACGACCCCAACAUCCAUCGCGUAGCCACUCACGGGCAUCUUCAAGUCCCUCAAAACGGAGAAAGCCUCAGCCAUGCGAGCCCUCGGCACAUCGACCGCCACGGGGCAGAACGGGACCCACGAGUCCUGGCGAAACUCCUCGCCGAUGUCGAAGCCUUCCUUCUUGACGGCGUCGAGAAGCUGAGCGUGGAGGUGGAGGAGGGAGAGGGAGGGGGUGGGGGAGAGGAAGAGGGCGUUGUUGUCGCCGGAGAAGCUACCGAGGGAGGAGAAGGAGAGAGGGAGGGGCUCCUGCUUGGAGGCGAAGGCUUUGAGGAUGGGCUCGAGCUUGGAGGAGUCGAGGAAGGAGGAGGAGAGGAGGGUGAGGUGGGGGCGGGACUCGGUGGUGAUGAGCUUGGUGCUGAUCUGGCGGCGGGCGAAGACGUUCCAGGCUUACAGGACUUGGUUCUCCAGCGCUGGGUCGAAGUAGAGCUCGAUCGCGUACCCUUCUGACAUUAGAUCUGGGAGAGAGAGAGCGAUUGAGAUUUGGGAGUGGUGGAGAAAGGUGGAAGCUUGACAGCGAGAAGACAAAGGGGAAAGGGGAAAGCUUCUUUUAAUUGGUCUGUGGAUCGAAUGAGGAAGAAGAUUGUUUUCUCAUAGGUGAAGGUGAUGAGUACGUGAAUUACUCAGAAAUUAGUUAGAGAUCUAAUGUGAAACAAAAUAAAAGUAGGAGGAGCAAAAAGCAAUAUCUGAAUAGUACGCCAAUUAUUUAGAAAUUAAGUAGAGAUUUAAUGUAAAAUGAAUUAAGAAAAAAUACCCAACAUAACAUAUACUAAUUUUUAGCAAACAAAAUAAAUAAUAAUUUAAAUAAAUAAAUGAAAAGAAAAGAAAUUUAACUAGCAAUAAUCUAUGAUCUUUUCAAUUGUUGACCGGAACCUGUAGUAAUGAUGAGUUAAUUAUAUGUUUUCUUGUAGUGAUGAGACUAUCAUGUUGAUUCUGAUCAUAUUUGUUCUUGUGAUUCUGAUCAUAUUUGUUCUUGUGAUAGUAACCAAGAACAAAUGAUGGGUUAUGUAUAGGUCUCUCUUUGUUCUUGUUCUCUGUGUUCGAUGCCUUUUUUUUUUUUUGAACACUACUUUCAUUAACUUCAAACGAAAAGAGUUAGGUAGGGGCAAUAACACCCUCAACCAUACAAAGUGCUUCCUUUGAUAAGGAAUCAGCAACAAGAUUUUUAUCUCUAGGGAUCCAAGAAAACAAGAUCGAAACGUCGGGGAGUCCGCUCAGGUGGAGAAUGUCCGAGAGAAUCCCAUGCACCUCCGCGAUGCAUUCCUUUUGGUUUAUUGCUUUUAUCAGCUGUGCUGAAUCAGACUCUAGGAGAAUGUCGUUCAAACUAUGCUCUCUGCAGAACAACAGAGCUUCCCGAAUGGGUAGUCCUUCUGCAACGAGGGGUGAAGAUACGUGCCCGUGGGGUUUCUUCCUUCUAAUUUCAAACCUCUCUGUCUUCACUGUCCAGCCGAGCCCGGCUUUCUUAUCUUCCUUCCUCCAGGCUGCAUCAGAGCGAACGAAGGUAGCAGCGGUGCACGCUUCAGUCGCCGAUGGCGUUGCCUGAGUAGGAGUGACCUUCUCUACUUUUUGUCCUUGUUCCCAUUCCUUUGCCGCUCGAAUAGCGGUAGCUAGUGUGUCCUCUGGUGAUGCAGAAGCACCGUUGAAGACGAAUCUGUUCCUUUGAAACUUAAAUUUGGUCGUCGUCUUUCUUUUUAUUAGAAAAGGAGCUUCCUCUGAAAGAGACAACAUUAGUUGAGUCUUCUCUUCUUUUGCUGCUCAAAGAAGCAGACAAAAAUUACAUUCUCACAAACAUAAAACUCAAUUUAUAUAAAAAACAUAUGAGAGGAUAUCAACCCUAAACAAAUGACCUUGCGUUGACUUCAUCUUGUUAGAACUGAGCUGUGGCUAGGCUCUUCUUUACAAAUAGUGCAAUGUCUUUUUUCACUUUUUGUUAUUCAACCAUCUGUUAUUGCGUAUGCACCUUCUACUAAUUUUAAGAGCUAUCUAUGUGAAACCGUCCACUACUCGACAACAGCUAAACAUCACAUUUUAAGAAAUUUGAUGUAGAACAAUAUUUCUACUAAUUUCAAGAAAUUCGAUAUUAUCUUUUUCAAGUUAUAUACAAGUAAUAUAGUAAUAGAAUGUCCAGAUCCAAUAAAACUGUAAAUAAUACUACGCAUUAACACAUUCAAAAGUAUGUAGUUUAUUUCUCUUUGGUUCUAAAUUAAUUUGGUCGUCGUUGUGGUUCAACAGAAGAGGGCUAUUCUCUUUUUCUGUAAGUAACAAUAACCGAGUCUUCUCUUCGUUUGCUUUCCCCCACAUCACAGCGUAAAAACCUAUCGUUAUCAAAACUCCUCCAAUCAAACUGCAUACAUAAGCAAAAAAUAGAAACGAUUAGACUUUCAAAUUACAAAUAAGUGAAUUGAUACUAUUUGCGCAUAUACCAUCCGAGAUAUAGAGAAUCUCCGAGAAAAAUUGCGCUCAUAAUCACCGCUAUUAAAAUCGACAAUGGCUUAAAUAUGGCCAAGUAAAGAGGUCCUUUGUAACGCACUGUCCAUGAAUGAAUUACGUAGUAUACUGGAGUGAAUAUUCCCUGACAUGUUUACAAACUCAAUUUUAAGAUCAAAACGGAGGAAGUUUGGUUUUAACUUUUAAAACUCAAUAUAGAGCGUACGUACCAUAGCUAGAAUGCAUAUCAAAGUAAUAUCAAAUCGAAUGAUCCAAACGCUUGGAUUGCUCCUCUCGACUACGAGUCCAGUCAAGGAGGUGAUGAUUGAAACGAACAGAGUAUAGAAAAAUGAUACUGUAAAUGCUGCUGGAUAUUCAGACAUUAUAUGUGCCUGCCCAAAAUCAGCGUAUAUAAACUUAUUUUUCAAAGUAGAAACCGAUCAUUAGUUGAUAUAGGUUUCAUAGUUCUAUUGACUAUAUAUGUUUUUUUUUUUUUUUUUGAUCAAAUACUAUAUAUGUUUUCUUUUUUGAGAAAAUGACUAUAUAUGUUUAAGUAUGCAUUUCUUGUUAAGGAGUCACCGGUAAUCAAGACUAGUAUACAACAUUUUCCUCUUUUUCUUAUAAUUUGCACAUAAAGUUGUAAAUCAGUAUCAUUAGAACUUUACACCAAAACCAUCUAGGCGAAUAUUUACUCACAUGCCGGGUCCAGAACACAAGCGGACAAAUCAAAGAUUAGGAGCACCAUGUUUUUUCUUGGAAGGCCACAAUUUUUAUACUAGUUGUUAUAUAAUUGAUGACUAUCUAAUUUUUGUAUUUCAAAACUGAGUGGUUGUUUAGAAAUUUUAGAGAUUUUUUAGAACUAACAAUGAAAGUGUCAUAAAUUGUUUUCUUGAUUCAGACCACUAUUUCCAUUGGACUGGUCAUGAUUGACCAGAAACCCAAAUAAAAACUAUUAUGUAUGAGAAUCGAAAAUGAUACCUACCUGUAGUAUGAAAGAAACAGAAACGAAGAUGUCUCUAAUGGUGAGAAGACAUCCACCAAUGAUCCAAUUAGAGUUUGAAGAUGAUAGUGAUGGAGAAAGCUGGUGGAAGUUUAGAUUCGGCGCUGAUAAUACAAUGAAGACGCGUGGGCCGUGAUAGAGAACCACCACAAGUGCGCCUACUAAUGAUAAUAUCGUCCCCAUCACUUUAGCUACACUGCUCCCUUCUUUGAAUCUUACUUUCUCCAUUCUUUUUCACAAAUUAAAAAUGACUAUGUUAUGUUUUAUUCCAAUAAAUUUGAAACCAUAUAGCAUAUUUUUUGUCAAAAUGCCAAAAAAAAAACAAAAACAAAAAUCUGGCAGCCAAAUAGACUGAUAAAUAUGCAUCUUGUCAAAUAAUGCAAAAGCAGCAGUCUUAUCAGGUACCAGCCUUAGUAGUGUGUUAUUCACAAACUGUGAUUGUAAUUGUGCGUGAGACAGUGAUAUAUAAACUUAUCUUAUCAUUUACCGAAAGAAUAUACUUAUACACUAAUUAUUCCUUUAACACACCCAAAUAAUACGCAUUCUCUGUUAAAAAUUUACAAAAAUUCGUUGACCAAAAACUAGUGCCUAAUUAAAAAUAAUUCAAUCACCAAUAAACAAAAUGCAUAAUACAACAGUAACGAAAUAGAAAUAGAUUUUACUUUUGUAGCUGAGAUAGUGGUGGGGGUUGCAUAAAGCUUGAUAGUUGUCACAAGGAAUUAACUAACUUGGAAAACUUGGUUAGGGAAGUAUAUUAAUAGUGAAGUAAGCUAACCAACAUGAUCUGACUUUAAGAACCUAAACCAACUUGGACUCAUUAACAAGACUGAUGAAAGAUGUGUACUUUUUAUAUAAAAAAUAACCAUAAAUCGACUGCUAAACUCAAUGAUUAGUGGAAAAGAAUAACCUGAAGAUAACGGCUAGGAUGAAGGUAAGAGCAGGAGUGAUAUUGCUAAUCGCGGAAGCUAGGGUUGGGUUGCUGUAUUUAACGCCUAUGUAGCUUGUGAUCACAUACGUUGAUCUGUUCUUUUUUUGGGGUAUUAUUUGUUUUAAUCAACAACAAAGAUAAGCAAAACAUAUCUUUAUAUUAGAAGUGAAGAUAGUUAUAUAUUCAAAAUCAGAAAGAAGAAUUAUGUAGUUGGAUUUACCCUACUAGUCCAAGAAGUCCUAUCUUACAAAGUAUUGAGAAACUUAGUGGAGGAAGUGAUCUUGACCUGUUUUAAAAAACAUUCAAUAUUAAAUGGAAAAGAAAUGAUUACCAAUUGUCAAAAAGAUUUAAAGUGAUUAGAAACCUGUUGGAGAAGAGAUGAGAAGGAAGAAGGAGAAGAGAAGCAAGAAGAUAAGAAUAGCCAAGGAAAGUGUAAGAGUUGAGUCCCUUUGAAGUCGCUGCUUUGAACAGUGUAUUCAGACCAACAAUACCGGUUUCCGACGCAAGCAUUGCCGUCAAGAACGUUGCCUCUCUCCGCCAGAGACUUACGGCUCCCGCCAUUGUUGGAAAUGAUAGAGAUGUUGGUCUUGUUGAAUGAGAGUCUGUUAUUUAUUAUCCCUUUGUUGUUUUUUUCUUUCUUUAUAUGCCAUGAAUAAGAAAAGGAAAUGACGUUUGGUGGUCCAGGGUUGACAUUAAGGCUUCGAAUGUUACGAACUGCUCCUCCCCGCACUGCAGUUAACAGUAACAAAAAUCUCUACAUAUAUCAUAUAUCUAUACGUUCUUAUAACUGUUAAAACCGCACCGCAGUUAAACCGCUUGUCCCGCACCGCUCAAACCGCAGUUACCAUUCGAAGCCUAAAUAUUAUUUCCUGAAGUGAAUAUUUGGAAGGACAACGAAUACGGGAGUCUAAAACAUUUAUUCCAUAUUCAAGGUAAGUUGAAGAAAAACUCAUCUCCCAAACCUGCCUACAAGAUUGCAUUGUACAUUUUAAAUUUAAAUAUAACAAUUGUGAAAAUUUCAAUAAAAUAGCAUUGUCCGAUUUUAUGGUAGCUGGCUUCUUAAAACAUGAAAAAAAAAUGUCACAUAAACUAAUACACUAUAAGAUUGCUUUUGAAUAUUUGUAUACAAUUUGAGAAAUAAAGCUGAUGUUUAUGGGCAAACCGAAGUAGUUGCAGUGAAGAACUUACUUCUAAAAAUCAAAAGCAGUGUCACUAAAACAACCCAAAGAUUUUCAGACUUAUCAAAGUACAUAUAAGGCUCCGAUCGUCGUUUUGAACAAUAUCAGACGGGUCUUUUUCUUAGUUUUCCCUAAAAACAAAAGAAGAAGAUAAGAUAAUAUUCUUGUUUUUCUAUACGCAUAUUAGGUAAAAACAACAUUUUGGUUUUGUAAUGAUCCAUUUUUCUUGUAAUGAUCCCACUCCAAAAAUUGUCCAUACUAGAAGAUAUUAUGAAUCGAUAAGGGAAAUACACGCUUAGAUGCUAGGCUCAUAAGACCGUGGCAAUUACAUUAUAAACCGCCAAAACAAUUACAAUAUUAUGAUAAUAAUAUUAUAUAGUUUAUUAUUCAUGAAUUAUAUACUUUAGCUGUUUCAUAAUAAGUGUCAUUCUAACAUUUUUUUUUUGUCACAUAAAAAGUGUCACUUUAUAAUUUCUAUGUAAAUUAUAUUUACUUUCAACUGAAAAUUAAUUGUAAAUUGUAUUGAUUUUAUAAGUUUAUCUCAGAUACUAUUGAUCAAAUAUGUGUAAUUAAUACCAAUUUAAAUAUACAUUUCAAUCAAUUUCUUAAUUUGUAUGAAAAAUGUUAAAAUGACACUUAUUAAGAAACAGAAAGAGUAAUAAAUAAUCCUAAAUAUUAUUUCCUGAAGUGAAUAUUUGGAAGGACAACGAAUACGGGAGUCUAAAACAUUUAUUCCAUAUUCAAGGUAAGUUGAAGAAAAACUCAUCUCCCAAACCUGCCUACAAGAUUGCAUUGUACAUUUUAAAUUUAAAUAUAACAAUUGUGAAAAUUUCAAUAAAAUAGCAUUGUCCGAUUUUAUGGUAGCUGGCUUCUUAAAACAUGAAAAAAAAAUGUCACAUAAACUAAUACACUAUAAGAUUGCUUUUGAAUAUUUGUAUACAAUUUGAGAAAUAAAGCUGAUGUUUAUGGGCAAACCGAAGUAGUUGCAGUGAAGAACUUACUUCUAAAAAUCAAAAGCAGUGUCACUAAAACAACCCAAAGAUUUUCAGACUUAUCAAAGUACAUAUAAGGCUCCGAUCGUCGUUUUGAACAAUAUCAGACGGGUCUUUUUCUUAGUUUUCCCUAAAAACAAAAGAAGAAGAUAAGAUAAUAUUCUUGUUUUUCUAUACGCAUAUUAGGUAAAAACAACAUUUUGGUUUUGUAAUGAUCCAUUUUUCUUGUAAUGAUCCCACUCCAAAAAUUGUCCAUACUAGAAGAUAUUAUGAAUCGAUAAGGGAAAUACACGCUUAGAUGCUAGGCUCAUAAGACCGUGGCAAUUACAUUAUAAACCGCCAAAACAAUUACAAUAUUAUGAUAAUAAUAUUAUAUAGUUUAUUAUUCAUGAAUUAUAUACUUUAGCUGUUUCAUAAUAAGUGUCAUUCUAACAUUUUUUUUUUGUCACAUAAAAAGUGUCACUUUAUAAUUUCUAUGUAAAUUAUAUUUACUUUCAACUGAAAAUUAAUUGUAAAUUGUAUUGAUUUUAUAAGUUUAUCUCAGAUACUAUUGAUCAAAUAUGUGUAAUUAAUACCAAUUUAAAUAUACAUUUCAAUCAAUUUCUUAAUUUGUAUGAAAAAUGUUAAAAUGACACUUAUUAAGAAACAGAAAGAGUAAUAAAUAAUAUAUUAUAAUGUAGAAUCUUACGAAGGUAAUGCAAUAUAAAUUUUAUCAAUUGUGAUUAACGAUAUUUAAUAUAAAAUAUCACAUAUAUUUAAUAUAGUAUUAUAAUUUAUAAACGCAUAAACCGUCUAACUAAUAAUCUAGGCGUCACUUAGUUGUUCUAGUCGCUAGCUGCUGAGUCAUCGCCCACUUAGAGCCUAUCGCUUUCUUCAACACAAUGGAUCAUAGCCACAAUUUAUAUGAAUGUUAUCCUAAUUUUAAUACAAACGCACGCGAAUAACUGGAGUCGAAGCGUGAGAGUUACGUGCAAGUAUUUAUUAGACAACAUACCCUCAAAGGAACCUCAUGGAUCCAUUAUACCGGAAAAUAGAAAACUACCGAACAAAAUAAUUGAUUCAUUGGCCCUAGUCACUAACGCAUCCUGAAAUCCUGUUUUUCCUUUUCUGUUUUCAAAUGUUGUACAGUCUGAUAAAAACCCAACGUAGUUUGCUUUGAAAUCUAGAGACACUUCUACUAGUUGAACUAAAAAACAAUUAGAUACUUGCAAUUCUACUUAAUGUCGCUUGCGUUUUAUAUAUAUAAACCGACCCCAUGAUACUAAUUGAUUUUACAGUUGGUCCUCGUUCCGCCAGUAGAUUGUUCCGGACUCAGGACCAGUGGAUGAAGCUAAACCGCAAAAACCGUGCAUCUGAAUACAUGAAUUAUAGACACCUGAAACCCUGAAAAUGAAACUGUUGCUGAACAAACACGAGAUGUUACUACACUUGUUUCUCAGCCGCGUAAUUCAUCAAAAGUGGAACUCUCUUGGAAUGUGACGAUGAAGCAGCAUGAUGAGUAUCGAUCUCGGACUUCUCUUCCUUUGCUUUUCCCCACAUGACAGUGUAAAAACCUAUUGAUAUCAAUGUUCCACCAAUCACACUGCCAACACACAAUUUUAAGAACUGAAAGUGAAUAUAUAGGAGAUAAAACAAUACUAAUUAGAUCAUUCAUCUUUUCAAAAAAUUUCACCUUCCCAGAUAGAGGGAGUCGCCAAGAAAAAUCGCGCCUAAUACAACCGCUGUUAAUAUAGCUAACGGCCUGAACAUUGCUAGGAACAAUGGUCCCUUAUGUCGCACCGUCCACGACUCCACAACAUAGCCCGUCGAGUUUACCAUUCCCUAAAUAUAACAUUUCAAGAAAUCAAAAGCUUAUAAGCUAAUUAGUAAACAUUUAGUUUUACGAAUCGAUUAAAACUAUGGAAACGUGUUCUGACCGUUGCAACGAUGCAUAUCAACAUUAUACUCGAUCUCAUAAUCCAUGCGCUUGGAUUGUUUGUCUCUACGAAAAGACUAACAAACGCACAAGAGACUGAAACGCAAAUAUUGUGGGAAAGUGCCAAGGCAAACUCCGAUGCAUAUUCCCUCAUAAUAUGCGUCUACAACCACCAAAAAUGUAAUGAAAAAGUUAACAUUAGCUUAAGUUAUAAUAUAAUAGACGUUUAUUCUAUAUGCACCUGUAUGAUGUACGAGAUGGCGAUGAGAGUGUAUUCAAGGGCUAGGAGACAUCCGCCGAUGACCCAAUUUGAAUUUAACGGUCGGGAUGGAGGCGGCGAGAGAGGCUGAGGAAGAUGAACGGACGGCUGAGAUGCGGCGAAGAUGAUGGGGCCAUGGUAGAGAGUGACCACAAGUGCACCUACUAUCGAAACUAUUGUGCCCACUACUUUGGCUAUGCUGCUAUUUUUCUUUAUAGACACCUUCUCCAUGCUUAUAAUACAAGAAAAGUAGUCAUCCAAAGAUUUUCUUUUACAGCGAAUAACAAAACGUAUAAAAAACAAAAUCUAACUAAACAAGAUUGUGUUACAAAAAAAAAACUAAAAGUCUAAAACACGAUUAAAACGAAAUUGGUCUUAUCCAAUGUACCGAUCAAAGAAAUUAUAAAAUAUACUUAUCUUGUAAAAAUAUAUUUAAUCAUAUUCAAUAUACAUCAACAGAACAUACAUUUACAUUUUGAAUUUUACUUUUUAAUUACCAAAACCGGCCAUUAAAUUACUAAACAACAAAAGAGAGAUUCAUUUGGGUCAUAAAUUUAUCAAACUGUAUAUAACAAUGGACCGAAUUUUACUAACCGAACUAAAUAAAGAACGUCCAGGUUUUGAACCAAUAACCGAAUUUUAAAUGAGACAAUGUGUGGAAUAUUCCCAAUUAAGGUCUAAAUUUGCUGAAUGCCCAUAAUUAUGAAUAACCUAAAAGUGAGUAACUUUUUGACACUGUGCGGAUAAAAAUGCCCUUAUGCUUUGUCGAAAACAAGUAACUCUAGAUCUAUCAGCUAAAUAUUUACAUAGCAGAUAACAAUCUAUAUACCAACUAACAUAUCCGCUAAUAAUUUCAGUAUCAUCUAACAAUCUAUGUAUCAAACAAAUGUAUCGACUAACAAAUCAUAUAUCAGUUAAUGAAACUAUUAACAAUUAAUUAGUUAUCUAUUAAAUAGCUCUAAAUCUAUUUGUAACAACUAACACUUUAUGUAUCGAUUAAAAAUCCAUUAAAAUCUAAAUAAUAGCAGGUAAGUAAUAAAAUACCUACUAACGUAUAUAUUACUCCCUCCGUUUUUUAAUAUAAGUCGUUUUAGAGAAACUUUUUUGUUCCAAAUUAUAUGUCGUUUUCGGUUUUUUAUGUAACAUUUAUUAGUAAUUAAUGUUGUCUGACCAAUGAUAAUAUAUCUUCUAUUUUUCUAUUGGUUAAAUUGUGGUUACGUAAAUAAUUAAUGAUGUUUUUGUUUCGAAAAUAUAAGAAAUUAAUGAUUUUUUUAAUCUAUGUGCAUAGCUUCAAAACGACUUAUAAUAAAAAACGGAGGGAGUAUCUAAAAGUUAAUUGUGAUUCGAAAUUGGAAACAUUGAAAUUGGGGUGAGAUAAUAAGAUUAACAUUAUGGGUGUCAAAAGAAUAAGAAUAAAAAAAUAAAGAUUUGUGUUGAAUUAGAAGAUGAUUUGAAGAAGUUGUACGAGAGAUAAAGAUAUUAGAACACAUAAAAGGAGAGAGAGAUAGAAAUAAGAGUAUUAUAAUCACUAAAAAUAUUAAAAUGAAACAAAGUUAUAUGGCAAAUUACAUGAGUUUUUGGGUGUAUACGCCAAUUACUCAUUUUAAAUCAAUAAAAUAAACCUAACUGAAUCCGAAUUUGUAUGCACUAUGUAGGCUAGUCUGGUAAGUUAAUUCGAUUCGGUUAAGUAACCGGAUAAGAACUGAAAAUAGUCAAAAUAAAAUUUGAUACUGCUAGGGGUUUGCAGAAAGAUAAAGUACCCGAAGAGAAGAGCGAAGAUGAAGGUGAAAGCAGGAGUAAGAUUACUCAUAGCUGAAGCCAAAGUAGGAGAGCUAUAUUUGAUUCCUGUGUAACCUAACAUCAAAUACACACAUCUUCUCUCAUUCCAAAGAAGAGUCACGUCACCAAUCAUCAUUUUCAAUUAGUAAUAAAACACACACAAAAUCUUGAUCGAGUAAAGAAGAUGAAGGCAUAGAAGAAGAGGUCUUACCCAAGUAAACCAAGAAGUCCCAUUUUACAGAGUACAGAGAACUUUAAAGGUUGUAGAGAUCUUGACCUGUGGGUGAGGAAAGGAGAAGGAAGGAGAAGAAGAGCUCCGAUUCCAUAAGAAUAUACGAGGAAGACGUAUGAGCUCAUUCCCUUUGAGCUCGCCGCUUUGAACAGAGUAUUCAUUCCGACGUCUGAGAUCACAACCGCCACCAUCGCCGUCAUGAUCCAGCCGUCUCUCUGACAUAAUCUCCCAGCCAUCGUUGUCUGAUUCUCUUCCUUUGGUACUUGGAAGCUUUCUCUGAAUCUGGAACUCUUUUCGUGAGGCGCUUGACCAAUGUUAUUAUCUUGUACUUAUCAAACUUAAAACUAUUUUAUUAGGAAAAUAAGACCUUCACGUUUAUGGGAUUUGACCAAGUUCCAAUUAUCAUGGAUGUCAUAAUCAUUAUUGUGCAGCUUAAUUAAGUUAAGAUACAUACUUCAGAUCCAUAAAAUUGUGAUUAUAGAAGAAACUUAAUUUCUAAAAUUAAAGAUCAUAUUUUGUCUCGUCAAAUAAAUUUAAAAGACAUUCACAUAUGAAAUUUUCAGACAUAUAUUAUAGAGCUAUCUCGACUGAUUGAUGAUAGUUUAGACAUUCUCAUAAUUCAUGUAACUUUCAAAGAAUGGAGCCUUUUCUGGACCUGAUGAUGGACAAUCAGUGCCAGUUUCGAUGGGAUCAUCCGCCUUGUUGUCAUCUUCAACCAUGGGCACUUCCUUGGCUUUGCCCCACAUCACCGUGUAAACCCGGUCGUUAUUACACUUUGCCCUGAUCAAACUGAGAUCAAGCACAUAAAUGGAAACAAAAGAGCCAAAGAAAAUGAAUGAACCUUUAGCCAUUGGGUGGGGNNNNNNNNNNNNNNNNNNNNAGGGGUGAUGUGAUUUGGAAGUAUUAUUUUUAAUACUUCUUAUAACCACUAGGUUUAAGAUUAAGGUCUAACUAAUCAUGGAUUCACUUGUUACUACGUAAAUUACGCAAUAGUCAAGUUGUAUUCACUAGACAUCAAGACCAUCCGCUCACCAAUAUUGCAAACCUACUAGUUGAUGUACAAACUGUGAGUUUUAUUCACCUGCCAAAGUAGAGAGAAUCCCGGAGGAAGACAACUCCCAUUGCUAUGUUAUAAUUUCAAUACCAAAACACAUGGUUAGGCCCAGAGCCGGUCCUUGCUAAUCCAGGAUCAGAAACAAAUUUAAAAAAGUUAGUUUUUCAGUGUCAGUAAUUAUUGUACGUUGUAGUAUUUGCUAACUAACAAACACAUGAAAAUUCUCAGGAAAACCCCUAUUAAUGAUAACAAUGGUCAAUGAUUGUCAAUAUGAUUCAUGAUGACAUAGCGAGAAAAGAGAAAACGUACCAUUGUGAAAGAAAACAAUCUCUACAAAAAGUCAAAAUAAGAAAGAAAAUAUUGCAUAAUGGAAAAAUUCAAUUAACACAAACAUUUUUCAGAAACUAUCCAGUAUCCGGUGAGGAACAGGAGAACUGAUGACCUGCAAGAUCUGAACAAUCUCCGCCAUUGUAGGCCUAUUUGAAGGAAUCUGAGAAGUACAGACAAGAGCAAGUUUCAGAACAGGCAAAACCUCAUCCUCAGAGUAUUCUUCCUCCAUGGUAGGAUCAAUACACUCCAACACAUUCCCUUGUUCCAACAAAACUCGGACAUGAUCGCUAAGUAUCACAAAGCUAUCUUCACCAUACUCCACGGGCCUCCGACCAGUCACGAGUUCGAGUAUAAGAACUCCAAACCCGUAAACAUCACAUUUCUCGUUGACCCUUAAGUUCUGACACUCUAACUCAGGCGCUACGUAACCUAAAGCGUUCUGAAACCUGUUGGUGUUCAUCGUGUUCCCGUCUUGUGUUGUUAGAAGACGAGCUAGUCCGAAGUCAGAGAUUUUAGGGUUGUAUUUUUCGUCGAGGAGGAUGUUGGUUGGCUUCAGGUUGAAGUGGACGGUUGCUGGACGGAACGUGUGGUGGAGAUAAGCGAGUCCUUUGGCUGUACCGAGUAUGAUUCUGUAUCUUGCAUCCCAAGGAAGUGGCGGUGUCGAGGGCUCCCUUUCGUGUAACUUGGACUGCAAGUUACCGUUAGGGAUGUAUUCCGAUACUAGAAGCUGCAUCUCCGGUGUCCAGUAAUACCCUUUCAUGGAGACUAGAUUAGGGUGCUUUGCUUUGGCCAAGAUCCGGACUUCUCGAUCAAAAUCUUCUAGGUUUUCGAUAAUCGGGGAUGGAACAAGUUUCUUGACGGCCAAGUUUCUCCCCUGGUCUCCUAAUGGUGCCUUGUAGACCGUACCAAAGACUCCUUCGCCUAUUCUUGAAGCUUUAUUGAGAACAGACUCAGGGUUUCUAGCGAACUCUUGAGAUGAAGACGAGGACCGCGAAGUUCUUGAGUUUAACAGAACAAGUUUCCCUGCCUCUAAGCUUCUUCCUGAUCUUGAAGACCCUGAGAAAAUGCUCUCCAACGCGGUGUCAACAAAGGCAAGUCUCCUUCUCACCGAUGCGUUAAGCAGCGUUAUGAUUAUGACUCCUGAGACGAUGAGUAUAGCUGCUGAUAUAGCUACAAUCACUGAAACACUAAGGAACAUUCCACCAUGGAACUUGCUUGGUCGGUUUCCGGAUGCUUCCUCGUUACUAUUACCGUUCCUGUAGAAGUUGGGAUCAAUGACAAGAGGCUUUGGAACAUUCAGUGUGCAAGGUCCUCUCAGCAACGGUGAACAAAUGCCUAAGUUUCCUUGAAGAGAACUCUGGUCUAAGCUCUGGAACACACCUCCUGAGGGUAACCUUCCGAUGAGUCGGUUAAACGAUAUGUUAACCAGUAGCAGAUUCUGCAACUUUCCUAGCUCUUUUGGUAUUUCACCGCUUAGCUUAUUGGCUUCUAGCUUUAGAAUCUUUAGCUCUUCUAAGUUUGAAAGCGACUUGGGGAUAGGACCAGUAAGAUUGUUAUGUGACAAACUCCUACAAAAAGAAAAAUUAUAAUUGUUAAGUAGAAAACAUUUGUAAUAAAUAAAAUAAGUAUAAUUGUGCAUAAUGUCUAAUGUAAUAUUACUCGUAGUUUGUGAUAGUACAAUGAACCGUUGUUAAAAAAGAUGAAACAUGAGUUAGUAGAGACUUACAACAAUUUAAGAGAAGAGCAGUUUCCAAUUCCUUCCGGUAUAGAACCGGUUAGUGAGUUACCAUCCAGCUGAAGUAUCUGUAGACUCUGUGCCUCACAUAUAUCAGCUGGAACCGAACCGAUCAACGCACCGUUCCUUAGAUCCAAAACUGUUAGGUUCUGUAGAAACUCUAUUUCUGGAGGAACUCUUGUGUUGAAAUGGUUCCAUGACAAGUUGAGGUAUCUCAAGUUGCUGAAUAGCCCUACUUCACCAGGUAUGUUUCCAGUGAGACUAUUACGCGAAAGAUCAAGCCUCACAAGUGACUCAAAUAGCCUGCUUGACCCUCUCGGGAUCGAACCGGUUAAACCGUUACCUGAAAAAUCCAUUUCUUGCAAACCAAGAUCAAAUAAACCAUCCGGAAUGCUACCGGUGAAGCCAUUGCCUUUGAGCUGAACAACCAUAAGCUCUUUGCAAGACUCCAAAGAUUCCGGAAUCUCGCUGGAGAGUUUGUUAUCAGACAAGAUCAGAGCCUUUAGAGACCUCAAGUUACUUAUCGAAGAAGGUAGCUUUCCGGUUAACACAUUGCUGGAGACAUCCAAAUGUACUAAACCGGUCAUGUUACCGAUCCAAACCGGGAAGCCACCGGAGAGCAUGUUCUUGGAUAAAUCUAAAUGAUUUAAAGAUCUCAGCCUCUGAAGAGUUGUCGGAAUCUCCCCGGAGAAACGGUUGAAACUGAGAUCAACUCUGUUUAAAUGAGGACACAGUCCAAUGUCCGAAGGCAAUGAUCCUGAGAACUGGUUCCCUUGUAAGUGCAACACUUUCAAGUUAUGCACAUAGAGCAUCCCCAACGGUAUCGAACCAGAGAGAGCGUUGAACGAUAGAUCUAACGUUCUUAGCCUCUCGAGCUUCCAGAAUCCAGACACGAAGCUAGGGCUUCCGGAGAAACGGUUGCUUGAGAGGUUGAGACUGUUCAAAACAGAGCAUCGAAACAGAGCACUCGGGAUUUGACCUUCGAGACGGUUGCGAGAGAGCGAGAGAUGCCUGAGGGAUGAACAGUUGGUGAAGACAUCGUCAGAGAGUGUACCGGAGAAGGAGUUUCCGAUUAAGUCGAGGUGUCUCAAGGAGGUGAGAGAAGAUGGGAUUUGACCGGAGAGGCUGUUGUGGCUAAGAUCAAGCUUCUGAAGACGGUUGUUGUUCGAGAGAGCGGCGAUGUUUCCGGUUAAGUUGUUGUUGGAGAGUGAGAGAACCUUCAGAUGCUGAAGCUUUUGGAUCCCGCGACCGAUCUUUCCGGUUAGGGAUAAACCGGAGAGGGAAAGCUCGGUGACGCGAGAUGUUUUGGGGUUGCAUUUGACGUAGGUCCACGAGCAAGGAGAGAUGUCGUCUUCGUUCCAAGAGGAUAGGUGUGAAGAUGGGUCGUGAAGGUCUGAUUUGAAGACGAUGAGACCCAACACGUCGUCGUUUAGUUGGGUUGAGUCAAGAUCACCGUUGAUGAGUGAUAUCAAUGUCACUGCGAGGAACAGAGUUAAUGAGAUCACUUUUCUUCUGUGUUCGCCCAUUAUGGUGGAUUGUGAGAAUGUCUCUCUCUCUCUCGGUCUUGAUGUGUUGAGAGAUUGAGCUAAUUUGAUAGGGGGAAGAGAGAGAGAGAGUUAUGGCAUCUUGAUGAUAGAUAGAUGAGAGAGAGAGAAGAGAAGAGAAGAGUUGUCAAUGGGUAAGAAACUCGAAGUGACUGUAAGAUUCUGAAGUUAGCUAGAAGACAAGAACUAGAUCGAGUUACAAAUGAUCCCUGCCAAAAUGGACCACAUGUUUUGCUCCGGUCUAACCAAAACUUUCCGGUUUAUUCGAUUUUCUCUGAAUGGAUGUGUCUUCACGUGUACAUAGUAAAAUGUAGAUAGCUCAGACCAUUCUAACUAAUAGCAUGUUACGUUAGUAGUUGUUUUAAACACCUAAACUGAUACAAAUCACAAUCAUUGGAACAGAGAUGAAUUAUAUUUCUACAUUAUACGUACGAUAGUAAUUAACACGUUAGGUGAGAAAUUUAGAACUACAAAACAAUAGUCGCAAGUUAAUAUGAGAAGAAAUAUAAGUUCUUUAGAUGUCCACAUUUAGAAAAUAGUAUCAUCUUAUAAAAACAAGUCACGGGUCGGGAAAUGUUUAAAAUCAUAAAGAUACACAUGUCCCGAAAGCUGUUUUAUCUAUUUGUUUACUUGCAUAUGUAGUGCAAAACAUCUUUAGUUAACUAUGAUUUGCAGACUGGAAUAUAAACUAAUUUGAUGUUUACAACCGGUCAAUUGAAUAUUAUAGUUGUCAAGUUUGUAUCCAAUAGAUAACUCAUGAUCAUUACAAUAAAAUCAUUGGGCAUGCAACCAUCAUCUCUUUAUAUAUCAUUGCCCUGAUUUGCACGUAAUCAUAGAGUAGAAAGAUAUAUCACGAGAAAAGGAAGAGAUGAGAUAAAAAUCAUAAAAUGGUAUGGUCAAUAGAGAAAGAGACCUAUGCAUUUUAGAAUCCAAAUAAAAUAAAAUAAAAAGAGAAAGAAGAAAAGAACAA